CCUAGCGAUCUCCGGCGGCGGCGGCGAGGAGGAGGAGAAGCCGCCGUAGUCGGUGGCGAGGGGGUGGUCGGUGUCCACCGAGUGGACCCGGAGGAAGAACAUCUUUUACCCUUCGGACUGAGUUGAAUCGCCCGAGUUGGAGAAGAUUGCUGGAUUGCGGAGCAGAGAGAAGAAACUCGCGGGAACUAAGAGGAGGAUUGGGCACGCCUUCUUCCUGGAAUUAUAACGGUUGCUACUUUCCACCCAAAAAAAAAAACUAAUUGGUGCAAAAUGAAUAAUUUAUUGUCUAAUACGACUAACUUAAUUUCAAUAAUUAUUUAGGAGAGAUUUAAAAAGAAUUGGGUAUUCCUUGUUGAGUUGAGAUUUACACAAUAGACAUUUUUUAUUCAUUUCGGGUGUUCGAAAUAAUUAAAAAAAUUAAAUUUGAAAUUGAUCAAAUUACUUUUUGAUUGAACAAAUUCAGAAUUAUGUGAAUUAUGGUAAGAAGUAUGUUAUGUGAUUGCUUAUGAACGAAAUAAUUUUGUAAUCAUCUCAUUCUCAUUUAUUAUCAAAAUGAUGAUGCAUCCGAAUUAAAAUUGGUAAUAAAUUCUACCGACAUUGGAAAAGCAAAGAAAUGAUAAAGGCCUAAACUGAACUAGUCGUGGAUUCUAUUUCUUUUGCUUCGUCUGACAAACAAAACAUGACGACAAAGGCUAGAAUACUCCUAGAUAUACUAAAACUGAAAUGCAAGGGCAGUCAAGUGUCUAUUUGGCAUAAAAAUUGCUAUCACAGGUGAUUAUUAUGCGGGCCUAGUUUGGACCAACAUCAAGACUAAAUUGUUGCUCAAGCUCGUUCAUAAAAUGAAUCAUAUAUAGAAAUGUUGGGGCACGGCUCAGGCGAAGGUCGGGCAAGCUAGGAUUUUUUAACGUAAGGAUAUUUUCUAGUCUCAGGGUCAUGUCUCUGAUUGUGAUGUUGCAGAGGGUAGAUUUUAUAGUCUCGGGGUCUUCCUCCUGACAUAGUUUGGCACAAUUUUUUCUUUAAGUGGUACAGUUAGCAUCCUUAUCAACUUGUAGAUCUUACAACCUCAGGGCCUUCUUCUAGACAUAGUUUGGCACCAUCUAUUUUAAGUGGUACAAUUAGCAUCCUAAUGGACUCAUGCUCAAGUCUAGCGGUGAUAAUUUGUUUUAUUAUAUUUAUUUAGGCUGACUGAAAGUGAAAAAGAAGAACAUGAGAUUAGGGUGAUGCGUGGAAAGCGUUGUCUAUGCGAGUUGGAGACAGGUUUAUCUGAUUUUAGUUAGCAAGCUAAAGGAUCAUAGGAACAGGGUUUAGUUUUCGCAGGUGGCUUCUUUUCUUGUUCCUUCUGCGUCAUGCUGAAAGUACUUUUCUUAUGUUUUUUUAUUUAUUCUUUUUAAUUUGCUGAAGUAGCAUUUGUUAGCACUUAGCAGGUUCUAUUUUCUUGUUCUUUUGCCACAAAAAAAAAUAAUAUGAAUUAAUUAAAAAAUCAUCUUCUUCUUGUGUUCCUAUUAUGAACGCGAUUUGAGCGCAACAACACUCAGACCUUGGAUGAAAGUCAAUACUUCGCCAUGGUCUACCUCGACAUUUUGCUUAUUGGACUGCAUUCUUUGGGAAUCAAGUUCCAUCUUUUUUAGGAUGAUAGUCUUUAACUGCAGUCGGUAAACACUAUAUUGUCGGGGACACAAGUCGGUUAUUUCUCCAGUUUUUACAGUUGACAGAGUUGAUUUUUUCAUUUGCAAAUGGACACAGAGCAGGUAGGAGCAUGACACCGAGCCUCUUUUGAUCUCAUCUAUAUUCCUAUCACCCUUCCCUUACUACGCUAUCAGCCACCAAAGAGUACUUUCUCUCAGCACAUGAGCCUAAUGGUAGGUGAUGGGAAAGUAGCCGAGAAUUGAAAAAAAGUAUUUACUUUCUCAUACGUGAAUUGUAUGAUUACAGCCCUAUNNNNNNNNNNNNNNNNNNNNNNNNNNNNNNNNNNNNNNNNNNNNNNNNNNNNNNNNNNNNNNNNNNNNNNNNNNNNNNNNNNNNNNNNNNNNNNNNNNNNNNNNNNNNNNNNNNNNNNNNNNNNNNNNNNNNNNNNNNNNNNNNNNNNNNNNNNNNNNNNNNNNNNNNNNNNNNNNNNNNNNNNNNNNNNNNNNNNNNNNNNNNNNNNNNNNNNNNNNNNNNNNNNNNNNNNNNNNNNNNNNNNNNNNNNNNNNNNNNNNNNNNNNNNNNNNNNNNNNNNNNNNNNNNNNNNNNNNNNNNNNNNNNNNNNNNNNNNNNNNNNNNNNNNNNNNNNNNNNNNNNNNNNNNNNNNNNNNNNNNNNNNNNNNNNNNNNNNNNNNNNNNNNNNNNNNNNNNNNNNNNNNNNNNNNNNNNNNNNNNNNNNNNNNNNNNNNNNNNNNNNNNNNNNNNNNNNNNNNNNNNNNNNNNNNNNNNNNNNNNNNNNNNNNNNNNNNNNNNNNNNNNNNNNNNNNNNNNNNNNNNNNNNNNNNNNNNNNNNNNNNNNNNNNNNNNNNNNNNNNNNNNNNNNNNNNNNNNNNNNNNNNNNNNNNNNNNNNNNNNNNNNNNNNNNNNNNNNNNNNNNNNNNNNNNNNNNNNNNNNNNNNNNNNNNNNNNNNNNNNNNNNNNNNNNNNNNNNNNNNNNNNNNNNNNNNNNNNNNNNNNNNNNNNNNNNNNNNNNNNNNNNNNNNNNNNNNNNNNNNNNNNNNNNNNNNNNNNNNNNNNNNNNNNNNNNNNNNNNNNNNNNNNNNNNNNNNNNNNNNNNNNNNNNNNNNNNNNNNNNNNNNNNNNNNNNNNNNNNNNNNNNNNNNNNNNNNNNNNNNNNNNNNNNNNNNNNNNNNNNNNNNNNNNNNNNNNNNNNNNNNNNNNNNNNNNNNNNNNNNNNNNNNNNNNNNNNNNNNNNNNNNNNNNNNNNNNNNNNNNNNNNNNNNNNNNNNNNNNNNNNNNNNNNNNNNNNNNNNNNNNNNNNNNNNNNNNNNNNNNNNNNNNNNNNNNNNNNNNNNNNNNNNNNNNNNNNNNNNNNNNNNNNNNNNNNNNNNNNNNNNNNNNNNNNNNNNNNNNNNNNNNNNNNNNNNNNNNNNNNNNNNNNNNNNNNNNNNNNNNNNNNNNNNNNNNNNNNNNNNNNNNNNNNNNNNNNNNNNNNNNNNNNNNNNNNNNNNNNNNNNNNNNNNNNNNNNNNNNNNNNNNNNNNNNNNNNNNNNNNNNNNNNNNNNNNNNNNNNNNNNNNNNNNNNNNNNNNNNNNNNNNNNNNNNNNNNNNNNNNNNNNNNNNNNNNNNNNNNNNNNNNNNNNNNNNNNNNNNNNNNNNNNNNNNNNNNNNNNNNNNNNNNNNNNNNNNNNNNNNNNNNNNNNNNNNNNNNNNNNNNNNNNNNNNNNNNNNNNNNNNNNNNNNNNNNNNNNNNNNNNNNNNNNNNNNNNNNNNNNNNNNNNNNNNNNNNNNNNNNNNNNNNNNNNNNNNNNNNNNNNNNNNNNNNNNNNNNNNNNNNNNNNNNNNNNNNNNNNNNNNNNNNNNNNNNNNNNNNNNNNNNNNNNNNNNNNNNNNNNNNNNNNNNNNNNNNNNNNNNNNNNNNNNNNNNNNNNNNNNNNNNNUCUCUAGAUUUCGUCAGCGAAUUCUAAUUCUUCGAAUUCUCCCUUUCGCUUACCCAAUUCAUCUCACCAACUGAAAAAACAGGUCCGAAGUCCCGAAGAAGAGGAGGAGAGAAAACAGAAACGAUCGAAGCCUUACCUGAUGAACCGGAGCUCGGAGACGUCGUCGAUCCGGGGGCCGCAGAACCGGAUGAAGUCGUCGGGGGAAAAGUAAUUGGGGACGGCGACGACGAAGAGGGUGGUGGAGCGGGCACCGGGGCUCGAGAGGGGCGCGUGCGACAGCGUCCGGAACAGGUGGACCAUGCCCCUCCGCUCGGCGAACCUAGCGAUCUCCGGCGGCGGCGGCGAGGAGGAGGAGAAGCCGCCGUAGUCGGUGGCGAGGGGGUGGUCGGUGUCCACCGAGUGGACCCGGAGGAAGAACAUCUUUUACCCUUCGGACUGAGUUGAAUCGCCCGAGUUGGAGAAGAUUGCUGGAUUGCGGAGCAGAGAGAAGAAACUCGCGGGAACUAAGAGGAGGAUUGGGCACGCCUUCUUCCUGGAAUUAUAACGGUUGCUACUUUCCACCCAAAAAAAAAAACUAAUUGGUGCAAAAUGAAUAAUUUAUUGUCUAAUACGACUAACUUAAUUUCAAUAAUUAUUUAGGAGAGAUUUAAAAAGAAUUGGGUAUUCCUUGUUGAGUUGAGAUUUACACAAUAGACAUUUUUUAUUCAUUUCGGGUGUUCGAAAUAAUUAAAAAAAUUAAAUUUGAAAUUGAUCAAAUUACUUUUUGAUUGAACAAAUUCAGAAUUAUGUGAAUUAUGGUAAGAAGUAUGUUAUGUGAUUGCUUAUGAACGAAAUAAUUUUGUAAUCAUCUCAUUCUCAUUUAUUAUCAAAAUGAUGAUGCAUCCGAAUUAAAAUUGGUAAUAAAUUCUACCGACAUUGGAAAAGCAAAGAAAUGAUAAAGGCCUAAACUGAACUAGUCGUGGAUUCUAUUUCUUUUGCUUCGUCUGACAAACAAAACAUGACGACAAAGGCUAGAAUACUCCUAGAUAUACUAAAACUGAAAUGCAAGGGCAGUCAAGUGUCUAUUUGGCAUAAAAAUUGCUAUCACAGGUGAUUAUUAUGCGGGCCUAGUUUGGACCAACAUCAAGACUAAAUUGUUGCUCAAGCUCGUUCAUAAAAUGAAUCAUAUAUAGAAAUGUUGGGGCACGGCUCAGGCGAAGGUCGGGCAAGCUAGGAUUUUUUAACGUAAGGAUAUUUUCUAGUCUCAGGGUCAUGUCUCUGAUUGUGAUGUUGCAGAGGGUAGAUUUUAUAGUCUCGGGGUCUUCCUCCUGACAUAGUUUGGCACAAUUUUUUCUUUAAGUGGUACAGUUAGCAUCCUUAUCAACUUGUAGAUCUUACAACCUCAGGGCCUUCUUCUAGACAUAGUUUGGCACCAUCUAUUUUAAGUGGUACAAUUAGCAUCCUAAUGGACUCAUGCUCAAGUCUAGCGGUGAUAAUUUGUUUUAUUAUAUUUAUUUAGGCUGACUGAAAGUGAAAAAGAAGAACAUGAGAUUAGGGUGAUGCGUGGAAAGCGUUGUCUAUGCGAGUUGGAGACAGGUUUAUCUGAUUUUAGUUAGCAAGCUAAAGGAUCAUAGGAACAGGGUUUAGUUUUCGCAGGUGGCUUCUUUUCUUGUUCCUUCUGCGUCAUGCUGAAAGUACUUUUCUUAUGUUUUUUUAUUUAUUCUUUUUAAUUUGCUGAAGUAGCAUUUGUUAGCACUUAGCAGGUUCUAUUUUCUUGUUCUUUUGCCACAAAAAAAAAUAAUAUGAAUUAAUUAAAAAAUCAUCUUCUUCUUGUGUUCCUAUUAUGAACGCGAUUUGAGCGCAACAACACUCAGACCUUGGAUGAAAGUCAAUACUUCGCCAUGGUCUACCUCGACAUUUUGCUUAUUGGACUGCAUUCUUUGGGAAUCAAGUUCCAUCUUUUUUAGGAUGAUAGUCUUUAACUGCAGUCGGUAAACACUAUAUUGUCGGGGACACAAGUCGGUUAUUUCUCCAGUUUUUACAGUUGACAGAGUUGAUUUUUUCAUUUGCAAAUGGACACAGAGCAGGUAGGAGCAUGACACCGAGCCUCUUUUGAUCUCAUCUAUAUUCCUAUCACCCUUCCCUUACUACGCUAUCAGCCACCAAAGAGUACUUUCUCUCAGCACAUGAGCCUAAUGGUAGGUGAUGGGAAAGUAGCCGAGAAUUGAAAAAAAGUAUUUACUUUCUCAUACGUGAAUUGUAUGAUUACAGCCCUAUUUGUAAUGUGUAAGCCCUAUCUAAUCAAAGAAAGAAAUAUACAAAAGGAAGGGAAAUAUCUUUUUUCCAAAAUAUACAAUAUUCUAAUCUCCUCUAAAUGAACCAAUUAGCAUCAAUUAAAAUCAAUUACAGCAACGGUAUCUUCAACACUCCCCCUCAAGCCGGUGGUCUAUACACAUCAAAGACACCAAGCUUGCUCAAUAGAUACGUAUGUUGCCUUUGACACGGGGGCUUAGUAAAAAUAUCUGCAGGCUGUUCUGUUGUUCUUAUCCCUCUUGUCUUGAUUACUCCAGUUUGAAUUUUGUCUCUAAUGAAGUGACAAUCAACCUCUAUAUGUUUCGUUCUUUCAUGAAAAACUGGAUUUACUGCAAGUUUGAGCGCAGCAUCAUUGUCACAAAAUAGGACAGUUGGCUCUUUCACCCAUACACCAAGAUCUUAGAGCAAGCCUCUUAUCCAGACUAUCUCACAGCUAGUUUUCGCCAUUGCCCGGUAUUCAGUUUCAGCGGAUGAUAACGAUACAGUUGAUUGUUUCUUUGUUUUCCAUGAGAGCAAUGAAUCUCCCAAUUUUAUGCAAAACCCUGUAACUGAUUUUCUACUCAUAGGGCAAGUAGCAUAGUCUGUGUCACAGAAGGCUGUCAUUUCCAUGUUGUUGUUUCGAGACAAUAGUAUUCCUAAACCUGGACAUCCUUUCAAAUACUUCACGACCUUCAGUGCAGCAUUCAUGUGAGAUUGUUUUGGAUCAUGCAUAAACUGACUGAGAAUUUGUACUGCAUAACAUAUGUCCGGUCUAGUCAUUGUGAGAUAGAUAAGCUUCCCGACAAGCCUCUGAUAGAUGGAAGGAUCUUUGAGCAAAAGAUCCUCAUUUAGGGGUGAUAGUCCCUUAUCAUACUCAGCCGUUGUUAAUUUGAUAUUUUGUUCAACUGGAAUUACAGCUGGCUUGGAUCCUGAUAAUCCUGCUUCUGAGAUGAUUUCCAGAACAAACUUGCGUUGAUUGAGGCAAAUUCCCUUAUAUGAUCGCGCAAUCUCUAUUCCAAGAAAAUAUUUGGGAGGUCCCAAAUCCUUAAUAUGGAAUGUGGAGUGUAGGUACCCUUUAAAUUUCUCAAUGGCAGAUUCAUCAUUCCUCAUAAUAAGUAUGUCAUCAACAUAUAUAAGCAAAUAAAUUGAUGAUGUACCUUGACUCCACGUGAAUAAGGCAUAGUCACGCUUGGAUUGUUGGAAUUUUGCAGUUAUAAGUGCAGAGGUGAACUUGGCAUACCACUGGCAAGAAGCCUGCUUGAGUCCAUAUAGGGAUUUACGUAAACAACAUACUCGAUUCUCCCCCUGUUUGCGUAAACCCGGUGGAAGAUCCAUGUAAAUUUCUUCUUCUAGAUCUCCAUGGAGGAAAGCAUUAUGAACAUCCAUUUGAUGAAGAGGCCAAUCACGAAGAGCAGCAAUGGAGAGAAAGGAACGAACGGUGACUUCUUUUGCCACGGGAGAAAAAGUUUCCGUAUAAUCAAAACCUUCUCGUUGUGUAAAACCCUUGGCUACUAAUCUGGCUUUAUAACGUUCAAUUGAACCAUCUGCCUUGUACUUGAUCUUGUAUACCCAUUUACACCCGAUAGAUUUUCGAUGAGGGGGUAUAGGAACAAUAUCCCAAGUGUUGUUCUCCACCAGAGCUCGUAACUCAUCCUUCAUCGCUCGUUGCCAAUGAGGAUCUUUGAUAGCCUCGUCAUAUGAAGACGGUUCCCGUCCCUCAGAAAUUUUACUUAUGCAACACCUAUGUUCGGGUGAAAGGCGAGCGAAGCUAACAUAAGAAGAGACAGGAUAAUGCGUACCAGAUUUUGCCAAGGUGGGACAAAUGUAGUCUGUUGUCCACGUGGGCAGUCGUGUUGUCCGGCUUGAUCGUCGAGGAUGAUCCGUUUCACUUCCAAUAGCCGCAGGAGGGAUAUUAACUAAAUCAUUCGAUGAGAUGGUGUGACCCUUUGGUAUCGCUUCUUGUGACUCCCUAGAGGCUGCAUUAUUUGAGCAAGACUGAGGAUCACAUUCAGCUGCAUGAUGCGUUAUAGGUGAUGUGAUAUUAGGAAUCAUGACGGGCUGUGGAGACAAGAGAUCUUCUUCACUCAAGAAUUUAUGAGGAUUUGUAGCCGGAUCUAAAUUUUGAUGUAAAGAUAAAUCUUCUUGGAAAGGAAAGAUGUCCUCAUGAAAAAUAACGUCUCUGCUAACAAGAAAGUCUCCAGUGGAUGGAUUAUAAAUCAAGUAUCCUUUUUGAUGAGCAGGAUAUCCCAUAAAUACACCUUUAACUGCACGAGGACCCAAUUUGUCCCGAGUGCCUACAGUUGAGACAUAGCACAAGCAUCCAAAAACACGAAGAUGGUGGAUGUUUGGUUGUUUCCCGAAGAGUAACUCAAAUGGAGUCUUGCCAUUCAGAAUCUGAGACGGCAUUCGGUUGAUCAAAUAGGUUGCUGUGACCACACAAUCUCCCCAAAACAUCUCCGGAAUUGAGGCUUGAUACUUAAGGGCACGAGCAACUUCUAAAAGAUGUCGAUGUUUCCAUUCAACGACCCCGUUUUGUUGAGGUGUAUAAGUACACGAACUUUCAUGAAUGAUGCCAUUAGAAAUAAAUAGAGAAGAACACUCAUGAUUAAAAAAUUCACGAGCAUUAUCAAUACGAAUCCGUUGCACAGAUUUGUGAAAUUGAUUUUUAACUAAUGUAAGGAAGUUCCUAACAUGGGAAAGAACUUGUGCCUUAGAUUGCAUCAAAAAAAUCCAUGUAGCCCUUGUAUUGUCAUCCACAAUGGUAAGGAAGAAACGUGACCCAUCCCGAUUUGGUGUAUGAUACGGACCCCAAACAUCCAUGUGUAGAAGAGAAAAAGCUGUAUGAGCACGUGAGGUACUUUGUGAAAAAGGCAAUCGAGAUUGUUUAGCUACUGAACAGAUAGGACACUUUGGAUGAGGAAAAGAGGCACUAUGGCCUAAACGCUGAUGAGACAAAAUAUUAUUAUUAACUUUGGCAUUACACAAAAUGCUCUCAUUUAAGGGUAGAGAUGAAAUAUCAAGAUUUUUGGGAAGUGCGGCCCAAAAAUAGAGUCCCUCUUGAAUUUUACCCAAUCCCAUCAGUUUCCCAGUCGAAAUGGCCUGGAAAAAACAAAUGUCAGAAUCAAAAGUGACUCGACAAGAAUUGUCUUCACAAAUUUUUGAGACGGAAAUGAGAUUAAAUUGGAACUCCGGAAUAAACAAGACAUUUUUCAAUGUGAUGAAUGGGUUGAGUUGAAUGUUUCCUGUUUUAGUAACGGAGGUAUCAUUCCCAUUUGGGAGACGUACUGAGGUGAACGGGGUCGAUGUACGAACAUUAGUAAGGAAAUGCUCAUCACAGACAAUGUGGUCACUAGCACCUGAAUCAAUAAUCCAUGCUUCAGUUGAAAUGGAGCUUAGGCAAUGAGAAAUACCUGUAUAACUUGCUGGUUUGUCCUGCAUUCUCAAUUGGCUUAGAGCUCUCAUGAUUUGUUGGAACUGAUCGUUAUUGACAGGUUGAUGAACUUUGGCAUGUGCCGCAAUUGAGACAUCUUUUUCCUUUUUAUCUGUUGGCCUCCCAUGCAAUUUCCAACAAUUUUCUAGCGUAUGAUAGGGUCGCUUGCAAUAAUCACAGAAUUUGGCUUUUCCUUUAUUGGAAUUUUGGCCACGUGAUUUAUUUGAGGCCACAACAGAAUUUUGGCCGUUGGAUCCCCGAGUAGCCGCGGCAUGAUGUCCACCGUCCGAUAUGGACGUGGAAAAAAUCAAUCCGGAGCCAUCUGAUCGCGCGAACGAAUCGGAGCCGUUAGAUCCCAUGAUUAAAUCACGUCCGUUCGUUGGGAAAUAAGUUUGUGUGAGCCCUGAGCCAUCCGAUUGCCCAAACACAUCUGAGCCGUUCACUCCAGAGGAUAAAAAAGAUUUGUCUUCUUCAUCCAGAAUCCCUAGCGCUGCGACUGACGUUAUGUGUCCACCAUGGCUGCCAUGGCCGGACCUUGCAGCGGCCAACCGCUGCUCUGGCGUCGCUUUGGCAGCAAGGAUAACUCGGUCUCCUACCUUGGCCGCUGCUCUGGCGUCGCUUUGGCAGCAAGGAUAACUCGGUCUCCUACCUUCAGGUACUCCGAGGAGGCCAGGCGUUGCGAUUCUUCCUGGACCGCGAGCUGGUAGAUCCGGCCGAGUGAGGGUACAGGCUCCAUGGCGAGGAUCUGGCUGCGAAACGGUAAGUAACUCUCAUUUAAAAUAAGUAAGAACCGUGUCACCUUCUCUCGCUCUCUUAUCGCACGAUAUUGUGCUAGGGUUGCGUCGGGUCCCUCCAACUUUUCUUCAGCCAUUUCCAACUCGUUCCAUAGUGCGGACAAUUUGUUGAAUACGCUAGAAAUAGAGAGAUUCCCCUGUUUGAGUUCUGAUAGAGCCUGAGUUAAGCUGAAAAUUUUUGCGCGAUCGAGUUUUCCAUACAUUUCCCGUAUGUUUUCCCAAAUUGCUUUCGCGUCUUCGGUCGGAGGGAGUCCCGCGGCGAACUCCGGGGUGAGACAGUUACCGAUCCAGGUCCUAACGAGCUGAUUGCAUUUCCUCCAAUGGCGUGCAAGUCGCUCGUCAACCGGAACUGGAACGGUGCCGUCAAUGAACCCCUCUGUCUUUUGUGAUAAGGGCCCGUCGGAACUCUCGCGACCAAAGGGAAUAAUUUUCCGGCCCGGAGAGCUUCUGUGUGAUAAGGCGGAGCUCGGGGCCAUCGGUAGCGGACGUGUACAGGGGGUCUCCCGGCUCGGGUCGACCGCCAAUGGCACCUACGAAUGGAGAAAAACCAGGUCCAUAAGUCGGGUAAGGGUUCACCCCAAAACCCGAUGGACCCGAACCACUUUGGUUCAGAAAAGUCCAACCUGUUGCAGAUCCUGGGUAGGACUUGUUAUUGGGUAGUGUACCUCCUCCUGACCCGUCGGUUCCACCGUGGGUUCUCUCGGCAGAGCCAAUUACAUUCUGAGCCAGAUUCGUUUGACUCGUCUGACCCGGAAUAGGUGGUUGAACUUGGAUCGGAACCCAUUGAACGUAAGGUCCCGUAAAAAUUUGCCCUGAAUUAGGCUGAACAUGGCUCUGUUGCUCUUCAUCAAGUGUCGUCUGGUUCAGGUCUUGCGUCUGAUCCUCAAUAUCUUGUCCUGAGGGUGAAUGAUUCAGCUCUUGUUCGUCGGAAGAAGUUUCUGGAUUAUGGGGUACUCCAGAUUUUGAGGCUUGGUUUUUUGGCAUAUUGUUUCCUUUUGCUGAUCUAGCCAAAACACUUUCUCAGGUUUGGUGUGGACUGGAGAAGAAAUCAGGACCUUGAUGAGGACAGAGAUGAAGAAAAAAAAUGGGCGGAAGCUAAAAGAGUAGCUCUGAUACCAUGUCAGAAUGGUAGGUGAUGGGAAAGUAGCCGAGAAUUGAAAAAAAGUAUUUACUUUCUCAUACGUGAAUUGUAUGAUUACAGCCCUAUUUGUAAUGUGUAAGCCCUAUCUAAUCAAAGAAAGAAAUAUACAAAAGGAAGGGAAAUAUCUUUUUUCCAAAAUAUACAAUAUUCUAAUCUCCUCUAAAUGAACCAAUUAGCAUCAAUUAAAAUCAAUUACAGCAACGGUAUCUUCAACACCUAUAUUGUCAUCGCAGAGCGCUUGCACUUCAAACAAAUGCAGAAGUAGGAUGUGGAAUCUAAGAGUGUCUGAUUUGAUUCGUAUACAGUGGGUUCAACCCUCGGCAAGUUUGGAUGUUGCAUCUUAAAAGGCACAUUCUUCUAAACGGCUGAAUUUGCAGAAUCAAUAGCAAAGUGAACCUAGUGGGCACGUUUUCUCCGGACAUUUCCACAAAAUUUGGAAUUAGUUCCCCUUACAAAUAGGAACGAUACUAGGCUUUCCCCCUUAUGAGAAGAUGUUCUUGACCUGGGAGUUUAGAAGGGAGUAAGAGCCACUUAAAAGCUGUUGUAGUUUUGGAGAUGGUAUCAAACGAUCUCUCAAAAAAGUACUCUCGGUACGCCAAACAUUAAUUAUCUUGACGUUUUACAAAAUCGUUCAUAUAUUUUUAGAUAGUCAUUGAAUAAAGGGAAAAUUCCAAAAAGAGAUCCAAAGUGUUAUAUUUUUCUCAAAUAAGGAUUCGAAGUGGAUUUUGUUUUAAAUAAAAAUCUGAAGUGACUUUAGUUGUUUCAAAUAAGAGCUUGAAGUGGCUUUGGUUAUUUCAAAUAAAGACCCAAUCUCGACAAUCGCCGGCCGGCUAAAUCUUCUGACCGGUCAAGAGUAUUUUCGUCAUUUGGCAUUUCCCCCCUUUUUUCUUCCUUUUUUUCUUAUCUUUUUUUUUUCCUUCUAAUUCCUUUUCUUUCUCUUUGCUGGUGGCCAGCUAGCCACCGGCAAUGCCCAUAGAGGGUUGGGUGAGGGCCACCCACACCUGCCACAAGCAAGGGACGGCCUCACUUAGGCGUGGUGACCUUCACCCAGGGGCCAUCCACGAGAUCAGUCCUCGCUAGCCCUGGUGAGGGUGGCCUUGCUCGCAACCAGCAAGGGCUGGGUGACCUUGCCGGCCGUGAGCAAGACCUAGGUGAGGCUGACCCUCGCCAGAUCUAGCGAGGGUUGGGCGACCUCACUGGCCCCUGAUAAGGGUUUGCAAGGCCACCCUCACCAAAUUUGGCUAGGGUCGGCCUCGCCUAGGCCUCGCUCGGGGCUGACCGGUCCUUACCAACGGCCGGUGAGGUCAUCCAACCCUCAUCGGCCGCAGGCAAGGGGUCGGUCUCGCCUAGGGCUGGUGCGGGCCGACCUCACGGAUGGGCCCUAGGUGAGGGUUGCCUCGCCCAGGCGAGGCCAUCCCUCGCAUGUGGCCUACGUGGGUGGCCCUCGCUGGCAAGCGUGACCCUCGCCCAGCCCUCUGUGGGCAUUGCCAUCGGCGAAAAGGAAGAAGAAGGACCAGAAAAAAUAAAAAAAGGAAAGAAAAAAAGGUAGAAAAAAGGGGGAAAAUGACAAAUGACAAAAAUACCAUUGACUGUCGGAAAGUUAGAUCCUUAUUUGUAACGAAUAUAACCACUUCGGGCUCUUAUUUGAAACAAAUAUAACUACUUUAGGUCCUCAUUUGAAAUAACAUAUAUUUUAGGUCCUUAUUUGAGAAAAUAAUUACACUUCAGUUCCUUAUUUGAAACAAGGUUCACUUCAGGUCCUUAUUUGAGAAAAUGAGAGCACUUCGGGUCUCUUUUUGAAAAAUUUCCUUUAAUAAAUAAGUUAUAUAGCAAUUUCUACGAAAGCAACUUUGUUAAUUCAAACCCUCCAAGAAAAGAACAAUAAAAGGAGAUUGACAAUGCCAUUGGGAGGCAACUUGGCAAAGCGAGCACUUUUGUGAGGUAUAAUAAGUCAGAGUUUAACAUUAUAUGGAUCAGUCUUUAAUCACGAAUAAAGAAAUGGCAAUACCACAAUCACAAAACUGAGGGCAGUUGGUAUAAUCGAAAUUCCAUUUAAAACUGCUGUUGGCAUAUAAACUUGUUAUUUUGUUUCCAAGAAAAAAAUUAUAAAUAUAUUACCAUAGUAGAACAACAUAUAGAAGAAUUGAAGUUGAGAGCUAGACUUUUUAAAUUUUGGGGAAAAAAAGUUUCUACAAUAAGUUUUUAGGUACUGCUUUCAAGAAUGCUUUAGUUUGAUUGGCGGAACUGUAACAACUAAACUGAGAAUGGUCUUUCUUUAAUUUUCAGCGUCUGGCCGAGUAUAUGCAUUUACAAUGUCAAUAAGUGCCGGACACCGAAACUCAAUUGAAGAGGAGGACUGGGGAAAGUCAGGGAGUUGCACCAUCCACAACCCCUCCAAGUAUAGAGGUUAUGUAGAACGCUGGGCAGUGAAAUACCACCCUCGGGCCCCCCUUGCGUCCGCAGAUGCUGCUAACAAUACUUUUCCUUCCUACUUACGACGAAUGUCAAUAAAAUGAAAAAACAAUUAACUACAUUCAUGCCAUUCUUGUUUACUUAUCAAGCAUAUGCACACUAAGUGACACCUGCUUAUUUCCGUCUUCGGCUGGGCUCCGUGCUCUUUCUGGUUGGAAAUGAUUACUCCAAACGCACGGGUAAUAGGGUCCUCCUUGGACGCCAUCUUUAUCAGUCAUCUUACCGAAUGUUUUCUGGUAUCCAAUAAACACCUUAAAUUCUUUGAUCCGUUAAAGAUGACAAGGAACAUAUUGCUGUCAACACACGUUACAUACACAUACACGCGGUUGGCAAUAUUAUGAAAACCAUAUGAACUGAAGGAAUAAAAUUUUGAGGUUCAGAAAAUGUACCCGUUUAUCCACAUUUAGUAUUUUUUCAUUCUUCGACUUUAGUGACAAAAUUAUCCUGCACAUGUGAAGAAACCGUAUGUGUGCUUCAUUCAUGUCAAAUCAGAUGGGAGGACUAAGUUCUCCAGACAGCUUUAAAUUGACUAAACUCGUCUAGAAGUUGCGUCAAGUACAAUCCAUAACUAUGCUUAUCUAGGAAGAUUAGCCCACAUGACUCGAAUGAAGAUGAACAAGAUGAGUAUACUUUAAAAUGCUGCAUAAUUAUUCUCUACGUUGUAUGCAUAUUAAGGAACUCAAAAGGCAUCUAAACCCACAUCGCUUAAUCUGUGAAGCUCGAAUAAGGGUUAUGUCGACCAAGAGCAUAUUAUUUUCCUUUUAUUUUCUAUGUUCUCGAAGUUGGAAAUUUCAACACUACGCAUCAUGAACAACCAAUGAACUGUUAUUGGAAUUAGUAAAUUUUUAAUGUUGCAAUUAAAUUUUAGUCCCAUACCAUCACAGAAUUAUUUGCAAAUUUUUCUAGUGUGCAAAAUUGUACUUUGAACUCAAACAAUGACCGUGGAGUUUUGAACAUUAACUUUCUACCGAUAAAGUUAAACCUCUAAGGCAAUAGCACUAAAACAUCAAAAGGGAAACAAAAUCACAGAUGAAACAUACAUUAACAAAGGAACCAAAUAAGAGAGAGGUCGUCCCGUCUCGCCACUUCUUUGAAACUUCUUCAAAAAAAAUUCCCAAUAACUACCUACUUCAUCUUCUUGCCACGUCCUCUAACCAAUAUUAACUCAAACGUGGUCAUUUCCCUCCAAAGUAUGGUGAAAAGCAGGCAUAUUAUCUAUUCGAUAAAUUCUCACACGACAUAAAAUGACUUUUCCUUGUGCCUUUAAUGAUGUGUCAUAAGUCAUUUAUAAUCACAACUCAGAUAUUUGCAUUGGGUGUUGUAGUUUCUCUAUCCUCUUCCAACUACUUUCACCCUUUUUACCUCAAUUUGUGACACCAUCUAAAGGUUCAAACUAUGUGAACUCUUCCUCUUCACAUUACCAUCCUCACUUUUUUCUCAUCUUCUCAAUGUUAUUCCGACCUUUCCCUCUCAUGACUGACCGACUUAACUAAUGGAUAUGACCGGCAUUGACUGCGACAUUAGUCAGCAUGAUAGACUCAGGCGGCCAACCGUACUCAAAUCUCUCUUCAACUGAAAUUCACAUGCCACAUGGCACGCUUCCAUUAGUUAAAAUCCUCGCUGUCUACAAUAGAACAUAUGACACCCAAUGGUCUAAUUAAUUUUCGUGAUAACUGUGUGGGAGCACAAAACUCUAGUUUAAAAAAAAAAAAAACAAAACAAAACAAAACAAAGCUAUUCUACCACAGCCCAAUCAUUACAUGUUCCGACUCCUUCGCUGGUCGCGCCGCCGACCAUCAAUCUCAGGAGGAUCACGUUUGUUCAUUUCAUCGAGAGCACCAUUCCAGAACCCAAAAAAAAAAAAAAAAAUCGAGCAAGGAAAAUUCAUCUCAAAAAAGCGAUUCCGUUCGAUUCAGUUGGCGGUUUCAAGCGUCCUGAAUCGAUCACAGUGGCCGUCGCCGGCAUCAACAGCCUCUUCAAUGCCGCGACUCGUCUCCUUUGUUCCCCUCUGUUCCGCGGCCGAGAGCCUCGAAAUGUUCCAGUUCGCUCGGAGCUUCUCCACCUGUUCAGGUUCCCAUCAUCGACACGUUCUAGAGCUUCUUUCAGUGAUUCGUGCGGCCAAUGGUGGCCUCAAUCCGCUUCGUUAACCAGGUAGCUUCUCCUGCUCUUUUCUCACAAGUAAGAGGCCGAGAGUCUGAUUCUCUUAUUAUGAUGAAAUUUAUCAUUGUUGAAUUUUUUUUUUCUUUUGACUUGGAACAUCAUGUACUGAUUUAGGUUGAGUCUAGUUACAAAUUUGGGUUUGAAAUGGCUUUGAUCUGUUCCACAACCGAUUGGCCAUAAUUUGUUCGAUGAAAUGUGUCUGAGAUCUUGGUGUGAAUUGAUUCCAGUAAUCGUCCGAUCUGAAAGCACAUUAGUGAUGUUCACUUGAUAUUGUUUGAUUUUGCAAUCUUUAGGCAUGAUUACGAGUAUAUGCCAUGGUUGCCAAGAAUGAAACUGACUCUCCGUUUGUUUUCUCAGUGGUUCCUGUGAUCUUUUGGUGAUUGGUGGUGGUCGGUGAGACGAGAAGGCUUGGAGUCGCUGGCACACGCAAUUUUUUUGGUGAUGAUCAUAGUACGCCCUGUUGAACAGAAUUGAGACGAUGUCGCUGAGCAUGAAUCGCAAUCACGCCAAUUCAGAUCACUAACUUUGGCCAACACAUGUUUCGGUCACUAACUGGAGCAAAGUUAUGGCUGAUUGCUAGCCGUAUCCUUGCUGUUGAGUCGCCCCACAAUGUCCUCAACUGCUGAGCUUUGCUUCUGUCCAUGCCUUGCAGUCCAUCGUUGCCAUUGUAAUUGCUGUGGUAAACCUACCUUGCCAUACUGCCAUACGUUACCGAUAUGGAUUGAUGUACCAAUAGAGCUAUAUCCACUGCGUUUUGUUAAAAAUCGGAUCACCUCAUACCGGCGGCUUGUUUCUGGUCCAACUGAUUUUUAGAGUUGACUGUAUGUUCAGAUUUCCUUCACUCCUUUGUUUUUUAUGUUCAGAAUUUUGCGCAUCUUCUUAAACCGAAUCAUGGGAAAGCUAAGCUGUUCGAAGUCCAGUCGUCAUGGGGUCAAUACUUGUGUCGUCUACUUCCUGCUUUAUUCUCUGUGCAUGACAUAUUCUACUUCACACGUGCUGUCGAGGGAAAUCAUGGUCGACAAUCAAUAUGAAGUGAGCAAGUUAUAUUUACUCUCUGUCAUUAGUUGAUAAGCUUUGGGGUAUGAUGAAACCAGUCAAUAGCUUGCUCAGAAUAAGUAAAUGAGGAUUUACUUCUUUCUUGGAAGUGUCAAUGUCAUCGCUUUGUCUCUGAUCGUGGAAAGAGUUUAUGGUUCGUUUUGAACUUGCAUAAAAAUCGUUGGAAUGCUCAUGAAGCAGCGAGUACCCAAAAUUUACAAGUUAUAUGAAUUGGUGUGUCCUGUUGUUGCAUAUGCUGUAGUUUAGCAGUUAUUGUUCAUCUAUGUUUGCUGAACCAUUUGAUUUGUCACUUUCAAUCGACGAGAUUUUGAUAAAGACACAUGACAAUCGUGAGCGAUGUAUUGAAACUGGCACUUUGGUGAUGACAGUGCUCCUUCGUGUCACAGUAUGUACUUGUUUUAGGAAAAAUCAUUUAUGAUGUUGGAGAAGUGAAUAUGUGUUGUAGGUGCCUUGGAUUCGGACAAACCCCUCGUUAUCCUAGACCCACUCAUUGAAGAAACGGAGAGGUAUAAACGUAAUUACUUUCCUUCUCUUGGCAAAAAUUCUGCCAUUCCCAUAGAAGUUCCAAGAGUACGAUGAGGUCGCCUAAAAAUUAGAAAACAGAAAAUGGAGAAACAUUUUGAAUCAGUAGUAACUAAACUAAAUGUUCUAUUGUGGUUUUCUCCUAAAAUAUGUGGUGCUUAGAACCAUUGAAUACCUAAAGCAAAACACAUGUGAGAGAGAGCUUUCGAGAGUAACGCUUAUAACCGUGGCUGAUCUGUCGAAUAGUACAAUGUACAAGACUUUAUGUUAAGCAGGGAGAAUUGAGAUAGGUAUCCGCGUGCUUUAUUUUUUUGCGCUUCCAGCUGAGUUGAAGCUAGAUGUGUAUAGUCGGCGUGCAUCUAUGAAAAAGUAUAUCUACAGUGUCAGAGUAAACGAGGUAAGUCUGAUUACUAUAAUGGAGGUAAUAUACAUUUUGCAGGCCCAAUAAUGGACAUGUGACAUUGGGCCAGCAAAAUGAACAUAUGAAGCACAAAACCAGAAACAAAAUCUUUCAUUGUCACCUGUCAGCACCGGUAAAAGCAUCACGCACCUGCAAACUUCAAACAUCUCACUUGACUGAGUCCAAACUCCAAAUCUUUGCAUGGAAAGUAGAAUUGGAUAACAAAAAUGUUCACGGCAUAGAUAUAAGAGGGCGCAUGAAGCUAUUGCUUCAAUUUUGUUGCUGAAGAGCGCCCCACUAUUUUCGGAAUCCUCACUGCAACUGCAACUACCACUAUUUCCUUGAAGUGAUUCACAGUAUGAAUUCAUCUCCCAAAGUUUUCCGUCAACUUUUGAUUCAUUAAGUCGAUGAAUGUAAGUGUCCCCAACGUAGUCCCAAAUUUGCUGCGUUCUUAAAUCUAGAGAAUAGCAAUAUUGUGUAUUUUUCCAACGGCUGAUCGCGUGCUUAUCUUUGCAUCUACAAAUCCAAAAAGGACAAGCUGUAACAAGACAGCCUACCAAAACACUAAAAUAUAGAUCGAAGAUCAUCAUACACCUUCCACAUCUUCCAAAACCACAUAUCAGACAAACCCAAAGAUAGAGCAAAUUGAGAUAGAGCAGAACGAAAGUAUUCUUCAGAGUCAGGUCACAGAUGGGCAUCCCUGAUGAUGUUGCAAUAUGGAGCCACAUAUGCGAUAAUGUUUAAUUCUUGCAAUCUGAUCAAGUAUGUGCCAUACUUAAAAUCUUUAGCAAUGUAAUUGAACCUUGCAAUAAAAUCAAAGGAAGACCCUUGGCACAUCACCAGCAUUGGAGAAUAUCAUAUUGACUUAUUUUAAACAUAAAGAUUGACGAAUCAAGGAAAGGUUAGUAAGCAUAUGUCCAUUGAUGGAUAUCCUAUGUGACACUUUUUUCAUCUUUUGAUAUAUACUCAAGUUCAAAGUUACUUCUUUGCUACAAAUUUACAUGGAUGGAGCAUUAUCACAAUCAGUGGAAUAUAGCUUGAAAUGUGAAAAAUGACCAAGCACCAUCUUAUCUUACAGCCAGAAGUUUGAGAUCAAAGAUCAGCACUUUGACAUCAUUAUGAUCACCCGUGUCAAUAAUGAGUACUUAAGUUCAAUGCAUAAACUCAAUAAUUUAUGGUUGGCCAGUGCUAUUGCGAUCGCCCUUGGACUCAUAAUAAAUUAGACACAACGGUGAUAGGACUAUUAGAUCAAAUAACCAUAAUGAGACACUGCAAAUAUUCUCGUAUCAGGGUAUAAGAAACAUAAAAAAAAUAAGUCCAAGAAGCCACACUAUGGACCUAUUCCAAAUCAUCAGAAAAUGUCAUAAUCAAUUAAAGUGUUGAUAAAACCUCCAUAUAUAUUUUAAAAUUAACAAAACUCUCCAUGUUUGUAUUGAUCUUGGUAAUCACAAAAAAGGCAUUUGUGUUUUAGGUACUAUCUAUGUCAAAAGGAUUCUUCUUGUCCAAAAAGAAUAUUAGACAAACAAUGGAGAGUUGUGGACCUGAGCAGGUCCUUAAAAGGCUCAAGGAGAAAAUAUGUGAGAUAACCGCCCUGGGGUGGGAGUCCCUUCGCUGUCCUCCAUAUUCCCUCUCUGUCGGGAAGACAAAAAUAAAUAGAGAAUUUGGGGGCCUCUCAAUGGGGAAGGUAGACUUCACGUCAAAGCUUGCUCUGGCUACCGCCGAAUAGGGUGGUAUAGUAGCCACCCGCGUGUGGGGUGAGAGAGGGUGGGUGAAAUGCCCACUGCUGUGUCAGCAUGCCUUACGGCACGGUUCCCAACCAUUGGCUAACAUAGUACCCCUGGUAUAUGUGUGAUAUCAACAAGGCAACAGGCUAGAUAUCAGUAGAGUCCCACAAAAGCUAAGUAUAAGCAUGAAAUUGAUUUACAAGAUUAUUUUUUGAGACGUUUUAUAUUCCAUUUCGUUUUAACAGCUUGUGAUUAGGUAUGAAUUGCCUCUUAAGGGAAUAUUGAUUGUCUAUCUCAGAGAUUGUCUUAGCAAAAGACUCAAUCUUGUAAGAUAUUUUGAUUGAUUGGCAAUCAUCUUCAAAGGCAAGUUUCUUUCCAUAGUAGAAGCGUUCUAUUUUUUAGAACCAAGGUUUAAUUGUAUAGGCGACCAAAUGAAAAAGUCCCAUUUCAUAUUCUUCCCUAAAAUAUAUUUUGUUUUAUCUUUCAUAAUAUAAUUGUCAUUACUAUAUGCAUCUUCUUGUUUAUUUCUCAUAACGAAACGCAUAACCAAUACACUAUCGUCCUCAUGAACUACAUUGUCUACCACAUUAACAUGUCUUAUCUUAUUUUAUUUUAUUUUGUAAAUUGAGGUAUUGCAUUAAACAUCUUAACAAAUUUUAUUCUAUUUAGGAAACAAAAAGUAACCAUUUGGUUAAGAUAAUAAUGACAGCGACCUAUAACGAGUAUUGCUCAUUGAUUUUCUUUUCUAUUUUUUGUUAUUGAUUAAAUAUGCAAGUCUAGUCAAGUGUGCUGGAUCUCGACUUUCAAUAAAGGUGUGUUGGAUCUCGACUUUCAAUAAUGGUGUGCUAGAUCUCGACUUUCAAUAAAAGCUUCAUGUGCACUUGCUCAAAGAUUCAGAUUUAUGGAUUUUAUUGAUCACAUGUUGUUGGACGGUGUCAAUUACAAAGUUUGGAUUAUUUAAGGUUUGUGCCGAGAUGAUGUGGCAUUAACAUAUAUUCCCAAAUAUGAACCCAAGAUGCCAAAAACUCAGGAAGGUUCAGGAGUUUGUGAAAAGGAAAAAGUAGGUUGACCAAAAUUAUCUCGUUUAGGUCAUGAGAUGGAUUUAACGUAAUGUAUAACUCAAUUAGUUGUUGAUUGUGUAAACAAGAUCGUCAUAAUCAUCCAAUUUGCCCAAACAAGGAAAAACAAAUGUUCUCAUAUUUACCAUCAAUCGAUUUUUAAUUAUCUCGAUAAUCUAAUAUCCAUAUAGUAGAAUCUUCAGAAUUGUUACUAUAUUAAAUGUGCUAAUAUGCUUGUAACUCCAUUCAAACUAGGAUAUGGAGCCUAACCCAAUUCCCAUCUUUAGUAAAAUAUUCACGUCUAAUUUUCAAAGGCCAUUAAACGGUAGAAAAGAAGUGGCUCUGCGUAGAGGGAUUGUAUUCUGGUUUUCUAAUAAAUUAGGUAUCUUCUUCAAAUUAUAUGCCAAUGAGUAUAUCAUUAUCAUUAAAUGCUGUCGUAAUCUACUUUAUUUAUUUAUUCACUAAAAUUAGUUGGUGUAGAUUACGCACCUUCCGCAUAAUGCUACGGAAAUAAUAAUCCAAGGAGAGACGUUUUUGUGAUUGACUCGUGUAUAAUUUGCACCGGAAUCAUGGGAGUAUUGAAAUGCUGGUUAGUUUUCUUUCCUAUUUCUCUUAUUAACAGAACAGCAAAGUCAAGUCAACAAGCACGAGCUUAGGAUUCUUCCACGCACCUCCUGCAAACUGCUGUGGAAAUUACGCGUGCAUUUGAUUGACCUAUGGAAAUUGGUUUCGGUGAGAAUUGAUGGUUGUUCUUCAUUUCUAUUUCUUUAUUACUAGAAAAAGCAAGUCAAGUCAAAAAGCGUAGGAUGGUCCCCACGCCUGCUGCAAAAAGUAGUGGAAAUUACGCGGGCAAUAGUCGCCCUCCGGUUGUCUUUUCUAUUUCUCUUAUUGAUACAAAAGGCAAGGCAAGUCAAAUCAAGGUCUUGCUCGCUUCGCUUUGGAUAAAUAAAAUGUUUAGAAAUAAAAUAUCAUUAACAUUGGGAAUAUUUUUAAUUAAUUAAAUAUUUUAAUUAAUAUAAAUAAUCAUUUAAAAAUAUUUUUUAAAUAAUAUAAUGAAAUUAUUUUUUAUUAACUAAUUAUUUCAAAUGAUACAAGUAAACUUAAGAUUUAUUGUUUUAAGAGUUCACUUGUAUUUCUCUAAAAAAUUAAUCAAUAAAAAGAUUUUCAUUAUCAAUGAUAAUUUAUAUUUAUAUAUUUUCAUGAAUAAUUCAUUUAUUAAUUUUAGUAAGUAAUAUAAAGGAUUUUAAAAGAAUAUUUUUUGAAUUAUUUUUAUUUUAUGGAACAAAUGCACGCUAAAAGCUCCAAACAAAUGUUAAACUGAUGUGAUGAAGUAUUAACGUGCCCUAUCAAGGGCCCCAAACGUUAAAUCCUCGAAGUUGCCAUACCGCUUGUACCUAUCAAAGAAACUCAAAAAAAUCUACCCACACUGAUAUGAACAAGACAAACUGGUGGACUAGAGAGAGCCGUGUAAGAUGAACCAAAGAUAAGGAUGGAAUCUUGAACACCCAAUGAAACGAGAGAUAUAUAUAUCACAAGAUAAGGCUCAAAAUUCAUUUAUAAUAUGUUUUGUGGUGUGUUUAGGCUAUAGACCGGUCAUGUCUUUCAUUCUCAUUGGAUGCGCAGGAAUCCAAUAUCCUAAUAUAUAAUAUAGGUGCGUUUGAAAGGUUGUGGUCUCCAAAUAUGCAAACAUUUUUUUUUUCUAAUAAGGUGCUAAUUUGUCUUUACCUUAGUGUGAGUGGAAAUCCAUCACUAACCUCACCAGUAUUUUCCAUGAUCUAAUUUCAAAUAGUAGAAGAUUAAUGGGCAAGUUGAGCCUAGAAAUCCUUGCCCAAGAUCGAUUAUGAUUAAAGAAAAGGAAAAUAUUACCAACCCCGGAUCUAUAUGGAGAGAAUUUAUUAUACAAUUAAAAUAUUUGCACUCACAUUAAGGAUCCAAUUGCACUAUCACUUGAAUUAUUUUCCUAAAAUUAACUAUUUAUCAUUUAAAAUAAUUAAUUAAUAAAAAUAUUUUAAUUAUCAAUGAUAAUCUAUAUUUAUAUAUUUUGUAUUUUUUUUUCAAAGCGAGCAAGACUUUGACUUGACUUGUCGUGCCUUUUCUAUGAAUAAGAGAAAUAGAAAAGAAAACCAAAGGGCGAUCCGUAAUUUCCACUGCAUUUUGCAGAAGGUACUGGGGACCAUCCUCUGCUUCUGGACUUGACGUACUUUUUCUACUAAUAAAGGAAAUAGAAAUGAAAACGAACGAGCAAUUCUCCACCAUCUAAUUUCCACAAGGCAAUCAAAUGCACGCGUAAUUUUCACAGCAGUUUGCAGAAGGUGCGUGGAACCAUCCUGGGCUGGUGCUUCUUGACUUGACUCUGCAUUUUUCUGUUAAUAAGAAAGAUAGAAAAGAAAACUAACUAGCAUAGCAAUGCUCCCGUGCUCUCGGCAGUAAUCAAUAAAAAAAAAAAAUCACUUGUCGGAUUAUUAUUUCCAUGGUAUUAUGCAGUAGGUGCGUACUCUCUGCCAAUUAAUUUUAAUAAAUAAAUAAAAAGAGAUAGAUUUCGAUAGCAUUUAAUGAUGAUGAUAGGGUGCACUGAAAAGAAAAAUUAGAAUUUUUUUUCCUUUUUUCUUUUGUCAAUCUUUCUUUUAUCUAAAUAAAUACUAACUCAUUCAUAUAUAUUUUCAGAUGAUGAGGAAACCCUUCCGAUUUCCAUUAUUCAUAGGAAGUUUCGUUCAUUUCCUCUAGAUAUUUUGCCUCCCAAGCAAGUAAAAAUCCAAGAGCUCACAUUUCCAUCAAUUUUUGCCACACUUCUCGAUCCUCAAAAGAGUUUGAACCAAUGUUUAUCAUUUGCCUAGAUAACUUCUUGAUCCUCAAAAGAGUCUGGACCAAUAUUUAUCAUUUGUCUAGAUAACUUAUAUAACUAACAAACUUUUCUCCUCCUAGAUAUCUAGGAUUUCUAACUUUUUUUCUUUUCAUCGGGGAGGGAUUCACCCAUCGGCCACGCCCACCAAUUAUUAGAAGCAUCGUUAGGAAAAAAAAUAAAUGCACCCUACUAUGCGACAAAGUUACAUUCCAUAUUCUUCCUUAAAAUAUAUUUUGUUUUAUCUUUCACAAUAUAAUUAUUAUUAUUAUUAAUCCAUCGUUUGUUUUUUUUUCAUAACUAAACACAUAACCGGUACGAUGUCGUCCUCAUAAACUACAAUGUCCAUCAUAUCAUAAUGUCUUGUUAUGUUUUUCUGUUUUUUUAUUUUUGUUUGUAAAUUGAGGUAGUGUAUUAAACUUCAUUUAGUUAUGGUGAUAUAUUUUAAUAGUGUGAUUGGUCAAGGUCGUGAUAUCAUUGUAUAGUUAGUUCGUACUAUUCAAAUGCUAAUGAUAGAGACCUGUAACGAGCAGUGCUCGUUAAUUUUCUUUUAUAUAUUUUGUUAUUGAUGAAAAAUGCAAGUCCAAUCAAGUGAGCUGGAUCUCAAAUUUCCAUCCAAGCAUCACUUGCACUUGCUCGAAGCUUCAAGUCUAUGGAUUUCAUUGUUUGCAUGUUGUUGUAGGAUGUCAAUCGCAAAGUUUGGAUUAAUUAAGGUUUUUAAAGAGAUGGUUCGGCAUUAACGUGUAUUCCCAAAUAUGAACCCAAGAUUCCACGAACUUGGGUGGGGCCAACUACAAUGUCUUGUGAGUUUGUGAAAAGGAAAAAGAACAUUUGAUAAAAAUCAUCUUGUUUACGUCAUGAAAUGGAUUUAACAUAAUGUAGUAAAUCAAUUAGUUAUUAAUCGUGCUAACAAGAUCAUCAUAAUUGUCCAACUUGCCCACGCAAGGACAAACAAAUUUUCCCGUAUUUACUAUCACUUCAUUUUUAAUUGUCUCGAUAAUCAAAUAUCCAUAAAUUGUAGAUUCUUCACAAUUGUUACUAGAUUAAAUGUGCUAACAUGCUUGUAGCUCCAUCUGAACUCGAACAUAGAGUUUCACUGUGACAUCCAGAUUUUCGGGUUUUAAUUCGACUGGAUAAAUAGAGCCAUUUUCGUUCAGUUGAAGCCAGGGAUUGUGAAGUUGGAAUGCAAGUGGGUUAUAUUGGUAAGGAAAAAUACCAAUUGGAAUGAUGAGGUGUUGCAUAAAUUAAUGGGGGUCAAUUUGAUUUAAUUCAAGAGGAAUUAAGGCCCAGUUGGAAAGAAAACCUAGCAAAUUCGUAUGCCACACAUACCCCACAUUUUGGCCUAUCUAAAGGCUUCUAGAAGGGGUAGAAUUGACAAGAAAUUGUGAGUGGAAGGGUGACAUCACAUGAUGUCAUGGUGGGCCAAGUGUGUGAUGACCUAAGAGAGAGAGUGUGUGAGAGGAAGAGGGGAAAUUGAAAUUUUCUUCCUCCCCUCUCUCCUCCGUCGACGGAUCCAUCCCUAUCUUCUUCUUCCUUUUCUCCAAACCUCCAUGGGAGCGGAAGACCAGAGAAGCAGAAGCAGCUGCCGUCGUCGCCCACCGAAGCCGGAGCCGCCGCCGCUGCUCCGCGGUUGGCCGCACCUCACCGCACGCCCUCUCUUCCGCCUCUCUCUCCCUCCUCUUACUGGUGCGAACCAGAGGACAGCAGAAAGUAAAGCAGCGUCCAGCGUCGCCGGAAGGAACCGCGACCAGCUGCCUGGACGCCGCCGCACCGGAGCUGCCGCACCGCCGCCCGCGCGACGCCGCGCGCUCCGCCGCCUCACGAUCGCACCUGCCGUCCUCGCUGUGCGACCCAACCCCUGUUCCGCCUCUGUUCAGCUUCGUUUUGGCCAUCUACGGUCCACGGUUCGGCCACCUCCGGCCACCGUGCGCCGCCACUUCGACCCGUCGGAGUCCCCUCGCCCUCCACCGGCCUUGGCUAGCUCGAAUCAGCCCCGGAUCCGCCCCUUCCAGCAGCGAUCAGAGAAGUCAGAAAAUGGGUUUCCAGCACUGUUCAAGGUCGUUUUGGGUCGUUUCCCGGCCCCGAACUCGAGGCCCGCUUUGGGAACAAUCGUUCCUCGCGUCGCCGCCGUCGGAUUGAUCCGAUUUGCGCGCGAUUUGGUGAGUAAUCUCACUAAUCCUGGAUUAGUUGGCUAAUUAUGCUUUAGGUUGGUUUAGUUUUAAUUAAUUAUGUUUAGGUUGUUAGAUUAGAAGUAAUUAGCAAUUAUUAGUCAAUUGUGAUGCGAUUUAGAUAAAUUGAUUGUGCAAUUAACAAGUAGACGUGGUCUACUAUUUAUUGGGAGUGUCUCGGGAAUUUUCGAACCCCUAAUUGAGCUUCAAUUUGAUGAUUCGGGCCUAAGUGGGAUUUUUGGCAUUUAAAUAUUAAUUUUCGGAAUUAAAUUAAAUAAUUAUUUAUUUUUCGAAAAUUCAAGGGAGAUGGUCUGGAACCGGAAUAUUAUGCUGAUGAUUGUGGCGAAGUCCGUUUAUUUGAUCGGACUUUAUUUUUUUAAGCUAAAUUGAAUUUUUAAGAUUAAUCAAUUUUCGAAAUUAAUUAAAUAAUUAUUUAAUUCCUGAAAAUUCAACUGGGAUGGCCCGUGACCGGAAAAUUAUGCUGAUGACCGUGGUGAAGUCUGUUUACUUAAUUGGACCUUAUUUUGAGCUAAACAGAAUUUUUAAUAUUAAAUAAUUAAUUUUCGAAAUUAAUUAAUUAAUUAAUUAUUUUUCGGAAAUUAGGUUUGAGAUGGCCGAUGACCGGAAUUUCAUGCUGAUUGUCAUGGUGUGGUUCGUUUAUUUAUUUGAGGCUUAAUUUGUGAGAAAUUGAUUUAUUAGUGAUUUUAGGAUUUAUUCCUAAAUUGCACAAUUUUUGGUUAUUACUUGAAGAAUAACCGGGCAUCGGUUGAUAAUGCCAAUAUAUUGAAAAAGUUGCCGAGUGGGGCCGUGAUACCACUACAUAUAGCAUUGCCGAGUGGGGCCGUGAUGCCACUACAUGCCGAGUGGGGCCGUGAUGCCACUACAUAUAGCAUUGCCGAGUGGGGCCGUGAUGCCACUACAUAUAGCAUUGCCGAGUGGGGCCGUGAUGCCACUACAUAUAGCAUUGCCGAGUGGGGCCGUGAUGCCACUACAUAUGAUAUUGCCGAGUGGGGCCGUGAUGCCACUAAAUCUAAGAAAGUUGCUUGGUGGGGCCAUGAUUACCACCUAUAAUUAAGUUGUGUCCUAAGGACCGUGAUUCAUAAUUGGGAUUUGAAUUGGAAUAGUUGAAAUGACCGGAAGUGGUCUUGUUGAUAUGUAAUCGACUAGGUCGAUUGAUCAUUGCUUGAUCUGAUGUUGUGAAUGGGCAGAUUGAUUGGAAAUGACCAUGAGAUGGUAUGAUUGACUUGUAAUCGACUAGGUCGAUUGAUCGAUUAUUCGAUCUGAGUGUGACUUGAUGUGAUUCAUUGCCUUGGUUGGAUGUUGUGAAUUGAAUGAUUGAAUGGAGAUGAUCAUGAAUGGUCUUCCUGGCAUAUAAUCGACUAGGUCGAUUUGAUCGAUGCUUCGAUAAGUGAUCUGAUUGCUUGGGUGCCUAUUAUGAAUUGUACUAACUCGCAGGUGGGAUAUGAGGCCAAGGUACGUCUUCUGCCCUAUGCGUGUAUAGGCAGCCUAUAGUAUAAUAGUUUACUAAUUGGGCUUAGUGGGGUAGAACUCGCUGAGACGUAGUCUCAUCCCAGUUUGGGGAAAAACAUUUCAGGACCCCGUUGAGGAGCUGAGGAGGAAUCUGAGAAGGAGAACUCGGAAAUGAAACCUGAGUAGAAGAAUUUUUGAAAGAAGAAGAUAAUCUCGAGAGGGGCCUUGAGUACGGCCCGGAUGGCUGAGAGUUUAUCUUAUUUUGAGAUUUCCUUUUUGAUGUGAAUAGUUAUGAAGUUCUCUAGUUGAUGUCAUGUACAAAAGUUUGGUUAUAAAUUUCAAUAUGAAAAAUAUGGCCCUGCUUUUCUAUCCCAUCGUUUUAUUGUCUGGGGAUUUUAAUUGCUUCCGCAUGUGCUUAUAAAUUAAAAGGGUCGGCGAUACAUUGUCCUGGGAUAUCGCAUUAUAAAAUCAACAUGAGAAGAGAAGGAUGUGUGCGUGCCUGAGGAUCGGGGCGUGACAUUCACCCAAUUCUUCUCUUCGGUAAAAUUUCCACAUCUAAUACAAUCGGCAUUAAACAGUAGGAACGAAGUAGUUCUAUGCACAAAUUUGAUGGUCAUAUUACGAUUUUAUGAUAAAAUAGGUAUCUUCUUCAAAACUAUAUGCCAAUAUGCAUACCAUCAUCAUUAAACGCUACAACAAUCUACUUUUUUUUCUUUAUUAAAAUUAGUUGGCGGAGAAUACGCACCUUCCACGUGAUCCCGUGGAAAUAAUGAUGCAAUGAGUGAUGUCUUUGUGAUUGACUCAUGUAUAGGGGCAUUGGCGGCAUCGGAGCAUUCCUAUGCUGGUUAGUUUUCUUUUCUAUUUCUCUUAUUAGUUGGAAAAAAAAAAAAAAGCAAAGCAAAGUGAAGAAGCACGGUAUUGCAUGGUUCCACGCACCUUCUGCAUAACUGCUGUGGAAAUCACGCGUGCAUCGAUUGCCUUGUGGAAAUUAGAUGGUGGAGAAUAAUUGUUUGUUUACAUUUCUAUUUCCUUUAUUAGCAGAAAAAGCAAGUCAAGUCAAGAAGUAAGUAGAGGAUGGUUCCCGACGCCAUCUACAAAACGUAGUGGAAAUUACGCAGGCAAUGAUUUCCCUUUGGUUUUUUUUCCCGUUUAUCUUAUUGAUAGCAAAGGCAAGGAAGGUCAAGUAAAAUGUUGACAAAUAGCGGAGAUCACAGCGGUGGGCCAGCAUUCAUGAGCGUAUGGAGGGAAUUAUCCAUCGACCACGUCCGCUAAUUACCAAAGGCACCGUCAGAAAAAAAGAUAUACACUUUACGAUGUGAAAAAGGAAUUGCAUUUCAUUUUCUUUCCCAAAACUUUAAUUUAUUUUAUCAUUACUAUUUAACCUUUAUUUCGUGCAUAUACUUAUUUAUUUGUUACAUAAGGAUACAUGUGAUCGGCAAACUAUCUUCCCCGGGAACUACAAUGUCCACUAUAUUACCAUGUCUCAUUUUUCUUUUUCCAUUUGUACUUUGAGGUGGUACAUUAAAAAUGUUAACAAAAAAAAAAAUUCUACUCAGGAGUCAAAUCAAGUGUGAUGAAUUUUAAAUUUUGAUCAAAGCUUAACACACUUGGUAGAAGUUUCAAAGUCUAUGGAUUUUAUUGUUCUCAUGUUAUGGCAGAAUGCCGACCAAAAGGUUUAGAUUAUUUAAGAUUUGCAUAGAGAUUGAUCUAACAUAAGGCAACAACUCAAUUAGUUAUUUAUUAUGCAAUCCUUGUAAUUAUCUAACUUGCCCAAGCAACAACAAACAAAGCUGCCCAUAUAUACUAUCAAAUUGUUUUUUAAUUUUCUCGAUAAUCUAAUAUCCAUUGGGAUAUAGGGUCUCACCCGAUUCCAAUAUUUGAUAUAAUAUCUACAGUGAAUCUUCAAUUGAUCUUAAACAAUAAUGAAGUGACUCUACACACAUGAAUUUGAUAAUCGUCUUCUGAUUUUAUGAUAAAAUGGGUCUCCUCUUCAUAGCUCCACAUCAAGAUGCAUGUCAUAAUCGUCGGGCACUAACAUGCGCAAGCAAGGGAUCUUUGUGAUUUUAAGUCGGAUCGGACAGUGAUCCUACGCAUCCAUCCUACAUAGAGAAAGAGAGAGAGAGAGAGAGAGAGAGCAUUUCCGCAAUCUACACAAUCGGAAUUGAUUGUUGCUUUUCGGUGCUAUUUCUUUAUUCAUAAAAAAAAAAAGCUAGUCAAGUCAAAAAGCACACGUACCUUCGCAUGACGCCGGUGUGCAAUAAUUAUCAUGUCGCGACUGGGAUGGUUGGAUGGCAACUCAGCAUUAUAUGCUUUUUUGGACGAAUCUCCUUUGAAAAAAAAAAAAGAAGAGUAGAUUUUGGAUUAAAAAUAAUAAAUUGUCCUUAUUCGAAUAUCUAAACAAAGUGUCCUACUGACAUAUAUGUUAUUAUAUGUUUUUGUGUUUUUUUUUUGUCAAGUAUAUGUUUUUGUGAUUGACUCAUGUCUAUUAGUACUGGCAGCAUGGGAGUCUUGCUGGUUAUUUUUAUUUAUUUUUAUUUUAUUUUAUUAAUAGUUAAAAAAGUAAGUCAAGUCAAAAAGCACUCGCAUAGAAUGGCCCAUGCACCUCAAAGUUCCAGUACCUACCGCGUAAUGACGCAGGUACCAUCAAACAACAUUUUCUUUCAUUUUAAGUACUUAAAAUGGUCCGAAAAACAGGCAUGUGCUCACGGCUUAAUUUUCACAAAUAAAUUAAGUUCAGCAUUGGCCAAAAAAAAAAAAGAAAGCAAGUUGAGUGAAGGUUGAAAAUCGAGUUAUAACACAUAAGGUUUGACUUGAAAUUACCAAUGCAAUCAUUGCCAUUAGAGUACAAUGCUACGUAUAUUUUAGAUCUUAACAACUUAUUUGGUUUGAUUUCUAGCUUUUUCUUAACAACGAAGCAUAGAUCAAGUAUGUUAAUCCUCAUAUCAACAAAUUCUCCAUUUAUGCAAAAUAUUGAGCAAGAUAUAAUCUCCAAAUACAAAAGAAUUUAUGCUUACAAAUAUGAGGAACCAACACAUAUCGCGUGGUUAGUCUUCGUAUACUAAUUUUUACUUUAUAUUCCCUCACACCUCUCAUAGUUGAACUUUUGCUUAACAAAAAUUACUUAAAAGAUUCAAAAUAUUCAUAUAUCGUCACAUAGAUAAUUAUACAUUCAUGUUUGUAAUUUAACUUAAAGAAUGUACAUAUUUAAAAUAUUUUAAAUGUAAAAAUCAAAUAUAUUUUUAAGUGCAACCUAAAUUUUUAUCAAAGGGCCGCAUACCAAAAAUUUUCUUCUAUUUUGAAAGAGGUAAUGCGCCUCAUUAAUCAUUAGACAAAAAGGCCAAAACAUGGAGCCGCGUCCACCUCAGCCAGCGCUGUCGAGGCGUGUAGCAUAUUCCCAUCUCAUUUUUCAAAAGCCAAACGAAAUUGCUCCGAAAGUCCAACCCCUAAGUCGCGUCGGUCGGGGAGAAGGCGGGAACUUGCUCAGACCGCGCGCCACGGGAGCUCGAGGGGGCAAUUCGGUACAUUCGGAGUGGCCGAAGAUAUCCUCGAGGUGCGAGGUGGGGACCACGCGUGGGCUUCGGUUUCUGCGCAGCUGGACCGUCGUAGCGGCCAAGCAAAGUGGAGAGGAGGAGCGACGUGGGUCCGCUUUAAGAGACAACUUGGGCAGAAUCCACGAAGCAAAUGUCUACUCUGUUUUCGUGGAUAAAAGGUUCUGGGACAGUCGGACGGCAAUAACUCAGCAUCGUUUAAGCAAGCAGGGGAGAGUGUUGAGUGUAGUUAAUCCGAGGUCGAAGGGUGAGAACCGGCAGAGAUCACAGCAGUGGGUGGAGUGUGUUGUUUGAGCACUCCUAGGUAAUCGAUUCCUCCAUUUUCUUUUGAUGAGUUUCGAUUUGAGUUCUUGGAGACAUUUCUGCAUUCCGAGAUCUGGACUGUGAAAUCUAGCCCUUUUUUUAAAGGCUUUGCUCGAUAAAUCUCCUAUUUGGUCAAAUCACAAUUUAUUUUUGUUUGAAUGCAGCUACGAAUUGAGCUCUGACAAACAUUUCAGCAAUUCUCAUACGUGGGUUUCCAUAUUUCUCUUCACUAUUUCCUGGUUUCCUUUGAGGCUCUGCUCUAUCAAUCUCUUUCACCGUCUUUGUAGGUGAUGACGGCAGCGAAGCCUAAAAGAUUCGAUAUGUGGGGCGCCUUCCUUUCUGUUUGAAUUUAGCUACAAAAUGAACUCUGACAGACAUUUCAGCAAUUCCCGAAUCUGGGAUUCCGUAUUUCUCUUUGUUUGCUGCUUUUCUUCGAGGCUCUGCUCCAUCGAUCUCUCCAUUUCCUUUAUAGGUGAUUACAAAGGCGGAGCCUAAAAGAUUCGAUAUGUGGGGACAUUCAGAAGAUCCGAAUUGCGGGGCUUCCUCCUCAUCGACUUCUACACCUGUAGGUGAUUAUGAAGGCAGAACCAAAAAGAUGAAAAGAAAUGACUACGAAGUGUUCUUGAGCUUUAGAGGGAAGGAUACUCGCAACGGUUUCACCGAUUAUCUCUAUAAUAGUCUUGUCGAUGCAGGAAUUCAUGUGUUCAGAGACGACAAUGAGCUUUGCGUUGGUGAGGAGAUCGGACCAGAACUUCUCCGCAGUAUUACACAAUCUAAGAUCUCCAUCCCGAUUAUCUCAGAGAACUACGCUUCCAGCAAAUGGUGCCUUCGCGAGUUGGCUCUUAUGUUGAAUUGCAAGAGAAACAAAGGGCAAAUGGUGUUGCCCAUAUUUUACAAAGUGGAACCUUGGCAAGUGAAGCAUCUCACAGGGAGAUUUGGAGAUGCUAUCAAUACACAUAAAAAGAAUUUGGAAGAAAAGAUUGUGAAGGAAUGGGAAGAAGCACUCAAAGAAGUCACUUCCUUGAAAGGAUUGGAAUCGGAGAAAAUUGAUAAUGGGUAUAUUAUUCUCUACCACAACAUUGUUUACUUUCUCAGAACUAGAUUUUACUUGAAAAAUAAUACGAAUAUUUCCAUCAUAUAUUGAAAUUUUUAUUGUUGUUCGACAGGCGUGAAGGAACAUUGGUUAAAGUAGUUGUCAGAAAAGUUAUGAGUAAGUUAAAGGAAUUGUUUUUGCUAAAUGUUCCUAAACAGUUGGUGGGAAUUGAUGAUCAUGUGGAGGAUAUUAUGCACUUCAUAGAUGCUAAAUUUAACGAUACAAGUAUUAUCGGAAUCUAUGGAAUGGGCGGCAUCGGUAAGACAACUCUUGCGAAGGUAUUGUACAACAAGCUUUUGAGUCAUUAUGAGUCUCAUAGCUUUGUGGCAGAUAUCCGAGAAAAAAUUAAGCUAAAGGGUCUUGAAUGCAUGCAAAAGCAGCUCAUUUCUGAUAUAAGUGGAGGCUUAUGUGAAGUGUCUAGUGUCGAUCACGGAAUCAGUAUCCUUAAAUCUCGAUGUAGAAGUAAGAAAGUACUCAUUCUUCUUGAUGACGUGGAUGAUAAUACUCACCUGAAUGCUUUGGUCGAAGACGGUAGUUGGUUUAAAGCUGGAAGUAUGAUCAUCAUCACUACUAGAGACGAGAGUAUUCUUGACAAGGCUGGGGUAAGACCACAAGUAUCAACUCAAUGGGUUGCUUUCAGAGCAAUCAUGUUUAUUUAGCAGACAUGCAUUUCGAACGGAUUNNNNNNNNNNNNNNNNNNNNNNNNNNNNNNNNNNNNNNNNNNNNNNNNNNNNNNNNNNNNNNNNNNNNNNNNNNNNNNNNNNNNNNNNNNNNNNNNNNNNUUACAGGGUUAUCUCUCGUGAUAUCGUAUCUACUACUGGGGGGCUUCCUUUAGCUCUUGAAGUUAUUGGUUCAUUCUUAUGUGGAAAGAAAAAAGAAGCAUGGAAAGCUACAUCAAAAAAAUUAGAGAAAGUGCCUCAUAAGAAAGUGCAAGAGAAGUUGAUAAUAAGUUAUGACGCAUUAGAUUUUGAGGACCAGCAGAUUUUUUUGGAUAUUGCAUGUUUUUUUGUUGGAUCAUCUAAACAAAAUCCAACUUACAUGUGGGAUGCCUGUGGUUUUUUCCCGGGAAAGGGGAUUGAAGUAUUGAAUCUUAUGUCCCUAAUUAAAAUUACUGAUGAUGGCGAGCUAAUGAUGCAUGAUCAGCUGAGAGAUCUUGGAAGGGAAAUUGUUCGUCAAGAAAAUCUAAAGAAGCCUCAAAAGCGUAGCAGAUUGUGGGAAUAUGAGGAUGGCGUGGACGUGCUUCUCAGUAACAAGGUAAGAGUUUUUCUCUGCUUGUCUUAAUCAACGAAUGUGAGCCCAUCUUCUCUUUCUUGUUUAAAAUAAUAAUUAUAGUCAAUCAUGAGUCCCCAAAACUGGCUGCGUCUACUGGCAAGAGGGCUCUUUUAAUUAAUUGCUCUUCUUGUCAGACUUUAGGACAAAAUUGAAGAGCAAUUUCUUGGUUAUUAGUAACUAAUAUUUUUAACUAGUAAGAUUGUGAUGAGGAUACUCUCCUUUUGCUAGCUUCAAGAAAAAACAAAGCUACAAAUUAAUGUUCGAUAGAGCACUUUUAAAGAAAAUCGAAUAUCUAUAAAUUGUUGGGGCCAUGCUUUCCCACAUUUUUGUUUGGUGCACAGGUUGAUGUUUGGAUUCUUAUAUUGAUUUCUUUUAAGGUAUUUUCUUUCUUUUUUCUUUUAACAAGUACCGACUUCUUAAGAGUUUGCUACGAUGAAUGAGACCAUUCAUUAAUGAUGAUUAGCUACCCGAUUCUUGAAUUUUUCAAGUUGGGUAAAGUAUAGAUUUAGUCCCUCAAGUAAUACUAUUUGUAAGAUUUAAUCCCCUUUCUAUUUUUUUGCUCAAUAUCAUUCUCCAUCUUUCAUAGUUUGUGCGAUCAAGUCCUUUGUAGUCAACCGUUAAUGAACAUGGUCAAUUUGUUGAUGUGACUUUCAUAAACUAUAAAUAAGUAUGGUUAUAAUUAAUAUAAAUCCUAGUUAUAAUUAGAAAUCUAACAUUGAUAGAGUGACUUGGAAAAAAAGACAUGAAUUUUGGGAAUAACUAUUACUGCGAGUAAAUAUUGUAAUAGACUAUAAUAGCCAUUACGGUAAUGAAACGUGCUCUAGUAAUCUAAAUGCAUGUAAUAAUACAUUGCUACAUAAUGUCUAUGUAACUAAGGGUUAGUAUAUGUGUACAACUAAACGGUAUAUAUUAUGCAGUAAGAUCUUUAGUUCAAAGUAAGACGUUAGGAAAAAAAAGUAGAAAUUUUCCAAUAAACAGGAUUAAUAAGCAAUAAAUACUUUACUUAGAUUUUUAACACUCAAAAUACUUCAAGCUUUUGCUUCGUACUCUAAUCUUAAUAUCUCGAUCUUCUCUAUUAGUCUCAAACUUGACCAAUUUGCAAUAAUUAGAGGUGGUCAAGGACUUACACUGAUGAUCUAAAUUGCAAUACUAAAGACAUCUAGAAUCGACUUAUAGCAAACUCCAUCAAAUACAAAUAGAAUGCUCUAUCACUUUGAUCCAUAUCUCUCUAGCUCUUCCCAUUUAAUGUCUUCCGGUUGGUUUGAGGAAUGAACUGGACACAUGUCAAAUGGUUGGUGAAAUAAUUGGUGACUAAGCAAAAAUUCCCAUAACAAACUCAUGCAACUCACCAUCUCACAUUCUUCUUCUGAUUUGUGCAUUUUUUUUUUCUUUUUUCUCUCUUUUUAAAGCUCCUUCACAAAAGUUAGUCUAACCAUAUUGAGUUUAUCACAAUAUUCACAUUCUACUUAAUCCUUGAAAAUACGAGUUAUUACCUUACAGUAGACUUCUGCUACUAUUACAAUCUACAACACUUGAAAAAUAGAGAAUCUAAAUAUUCUUUUCUUGCAUUAUAAAGGAGAUAUUAUAUAAAGAAGUUAUCGCCAAAAAAAAGAGAGUAAAAGAGGUUGCAUAAAGAAGUAUGUGUUAUUAAGAAAUAAAAAUAAAGAAGUGGAAAGACAAAGGGAAGUAACUAAGGAAUACUAAUAGAUAGUAAAAUAAUGUAUCAAAGAGGACGCACUAUAGAUGUUCAUUCAAUUAGUAUAUUAUAAAUAAUUAGUAUAUUGUGCUAAUUAGUAUAUUAUAAAUAAUUUUCAACAUAAUAAGUGAUAAUGAGUUAUCAAGAUAACAUAAUCACUAUUUCAUCAAUUAUUUACCUUUUUUUUUUUUCAUAUUUUCUAUGUCAAUGAUAUAAUAAGUGAUCAAGAUAACAAAUAUUCAUGAUCUUGACAAUUUCAUGGAAGAAUAGUUAUUACGAUAUCUCUGUAUACAUAUACAUAUCUGAAAAUUAAUUCCCAAGUCACAAUUUCUAUGAAAAGUGUUUAAAAGAAUUUUGAGAGGUGAAAUUGUGGAUUUGUUUACAACAUUAUAAUAUAUAUUGGCAAUGAUAUAUUUUAACAAUACUUUUAUAAUUUUAUUUGAGAGCUAUGUAUUCUCAACAAAAUAUAUAUUAAUAAAGAUAUGUUCUCAAUACCAUAAUUAUAAAAUUUUUAAUGUUGAAGUAUUAUCUAAACUAAAAUUUUUAACAUGAUACUUGUUAAACUUGAAAGUUAAAUAUUUCAACCAUACAUACAUGACCUUUUUCUUUAUAUAGAGGAUGAGUGAUGAAGUGACUUUUCAGUUACAACAUUUUUAAAUAUUUAUAGAAGAAUGAUAAUUAGCAAUAUAACUAAACAAUUUCACAAAUGUAUGCUGGCAUAGAAGUGAUAUUAACAUAAUAUAAUUAUUCUUCAUGUCCAAUCUAUCUCUUAGCAAGAUCUCAUUAAUUUAUGGGCAAAAUUGAUCAUAAAAUCAGAUGAAUGUUAUUUCUUUGUAACAAAAUCAACAUGAAAUGAAAAGUUAGCAUCAAACAUAUAUAGUAAUAAAAAGAGAAGUGAAAAUCAUGCAUAUAACUUGUUGAAGAAACACAUAAUAAGAAAGGAAUGUAAAACAUGUGCGUACUUCUUGGGAUGGAAUUCUCAUUUUAAUUUUGCUAUCGAGAAUUGUAAACAAGGUACGAAAGAAAAAGAGGGGAAUUCUACAAUUGGGAUUCUUUAGUAUUGAUACAUGCUUUGACGGUAAAUUUGAUAUAUGCAUUUGAAGUUUUGAAUUGUAAGAGACAUGUUGUUUCACAUAUAAAGGAUAUGAGUUAGUUUGUUAUUUCCCAUAUAAAGGGCACGGAAUUUUGAAGUGAUGUUUGCAUGAAAAGAGGCUUUCUAUAUUAAUUUUGAAAGGAUGGGACUUUGGGGAAUUUAAAAGCGCUACAAAUUGUGAAGGGCAUAAUUGGAAGAGGAAAAGUUUGGGAAGACCCUCUAGAGGUUCACAUUUUUACACUGAUUACCACAACCUGUCAUGUCAUUAAGUCGAAAAAGAGAAGCUUGAAUCAUGAUAGUAUGACAACAAAUUUGAAAUCAAUACAUUUUUUCUCAUAUAUAGUUGCUUUCAACCCAUUAUUCAAAACAAUGAUUUACAAUUUUGCCUAAUUGCAGGGCACUAGUAAAAUUGAGGCCCUUCGUCUUGACGUAGAUAAUGGGAGAGAAAGUUACACGGCUGAAACAUUUAAAGAAUUGACCAAAUUGAGGAUACUUCAACUGGAAGGUGUGAAUCUCACUGGACAUUUUCAAUACUUGUUUCCUCAACUAAGAUUGCUUGAGUGGAUGGAUCAUCAACCGGAUUUUGAAUUGACCAACUUUCACCUGAAGAAAUUAGUCGUGCUCGAUUUGUCGUGGAGCAACAUUUCGGAGAACUGGGGAGGAUGGAGUCAACUAAAGGUAAAAUGUAGAGAAGGCAUAUCUCUUAUAAAUAAUCACGUGUUGUCAAUGGGCCCAAUUGCACCAAGUUAUCCUUUAUUUCUUCUAAAAAUAUAUAUUAUGGAUUUUCUUCUAAGCAUAAGAGGAAUUUAUAGGCACCUAAAUAUGUCAAAAGCUUCUACCCCUUAAUAUUUUAGCAAACUAGUCAUGCUUAACAUCAGACCUACUAAUAAAAAAAAUUUUAAUCGUAUUAAUUAACAUCUAUCAAAAAUAUAAUUACAAUAAUGUUCCCAUGUCAAUUUUAAUCUAAAUGGUUUAUGGCUUCUAGUUAAUUUCUCCCCAUGCAAAAGUAUGUCUUUUUAGCAAUUCUUGCUAUAUGUAUGUAUGUAUCUUCUUUCAUGGUGAUGCAAAGACCCUCACAGUGACUUGUGUUUUAUAUACAUACUAAAAUUCUAAAUCCAUUGUUACUUUUAAAGUAAUGGAAGUAAUUUGUGAACUACUUUGACUUGUUGCGCACAAUAAUUAUUCUUUAGUAUUGUUGAUUGUUGAAGUCACUGUACAACACAUUUAUAAAGUAGUAAUGUCAUAUGAGUAAUACAACACUUUUUUAUGUCUUGUACAUAUAGCAUUUAAAAAUUGUUUUUCAUAAUUAAAGUAGCCAUUUCUCUUUAAUUUCAUAUUAAUUGAAGGAAAACAUGGCACCAAAUGAAUGCAUCUCAUUUCUUCCACUUGACUUUGUCAUAUAUAAUUUGAUAAUAAAAUUUGUGUAUCUCUAUUCAAUAAAUAACAACAUAGUCAUAACUUUGAAAAGCUAAACAUGACAUUUUCUAAGAAAUUUUAUUUGCGAAAAAUUGUAGAUAGCACUCAUACAUCCCUAACAUUCUCUUCGCAAUGAUAUGCUUAAAAACAUUUAUAUGCUAGCUUCGUGAAUACACUAUUGAAAAGAAACAUUUAAAAUUAAAUAAAAUAGCUGUGUAAGAGUAGGGAGAAUGGGAUUUUUUUUUUGUCCAAUCUCAAAGUGGUAACCUCUUUCUUUCAGAUAGCAACCGAGCUCAAGGUUCUCAACCUUACGCGUUGUGCUUUGGGAACAACUCCCGACUUGUCCGCUUUCAAGAGUUUGGAGAUUUUGAUACUUAAAGCUUGUGGGAAUCUACAAGAGAUUCAUCCUUCUAUUGAGGACAUCGAGACCCUUGUCUCCUUGAAUGUCAGUGAAUGUUGGCAGCUGAAGGAGCUACCACUAGGAGUAGGUAGAAUGGAAAAUUUGAGCAAGCUUCUCAUAAAUAACACUAAUAUACGAGAGAUUCCUAUUUCAAGAGGUUGUUUGACAAAGUUGGAGACUCUACAUGCCUCAGCUUGUAGACGGCUUGCUCAACUUCCAGAAUCCUGGGGCUCCCUUAUGUCGUUAACUCAACUAGACCUAAAAAGAACAGAAAUUGAAAAAUUACCCGAAUCCAUUGGAUCAUUAAAGAAGCUCAAGACUUUAAAUAUCUCUAAUUGUGCAUCGUUAACCUGCUUACCCAACUCAAUAGGUGAUUUAGCAUCUCUAUGUUGCCUUGACCUAAGAGAUUGCCAAAAGCUUGCUCAACUUCCAGACUCCAUAGGCUCUCUCGUGUCUCUAUCGCAAUUGUUGUUGUCAAAAUGCCACUCGUUGAGACAAAUCUUAGGUUCGAUUGAAAAGUUGACAUCAUUGACUGAGCUGCAUUUGCAAUCUACGGCCAUUGAAAAAUUACCUGAAUCCAUUGGUUUUUGCAAGGAGCUCAAGACUCUAGAUGCCUCUUGUUGCAAAUCGUUAGCCUGCAUACCCAACUCAAUAGGCAAUUCAACAUUUCUAUCUUGCCUUGACCUAACAGGAUGUCAUAAACUUGCUCAACUUCCAGACUCUAUAGGCUCCCUCGUGUCUCUACAGCGGUUGUUAUUGUCGGGAUGCUACUCGUUGAGACAAAUCCCAGACUCGAUUGGAAAGUUGACAUCAUUGACAGAGGUGCAUUUGAAAUCUACGGCCAUUGAAGAAUUACCUGAAUUAAUUGGUUCUUUGAAGGAGCUCAAGACUCUAGAUGCCUCUCAUUGCAAAUCGUUAGCCUGCAUACCCAAUUCAAUAGGCAAUUCAACAUCUCUGUCUUGUCUUGACCUAACAGAAUGCCAUAAACUUGCUCAACUUCCAGACACUAUAGGCUCCCUCGUGUCUCUACAGCGGUUGUUAUUGUCGGGAUGCCACUCGUUGAGACAAAUCCCAGACUCGAUUGGAAAGUUGACAUCAUUGACAGAGGUGCAUUUGAAAUCUACGGCCAUUGAAGAAUUACCUGAAUUAAUUGGUUCUUUGAAGGAGCUCAAGACUCUAGAUGCCUCUCAUUGCAAAUCGUUAGCCUGCAUACCCAAUUCAAUAGGCAAUUCAACAUCUUUGUCUCGUCUUGACCUAACAGAAUGCCAUAAAUUUGCUCAACUUCCAGACACUAUAGGCUCCCUUGUGUCUCUACAGCGGUUGUUAUUGUCGAGAUGCCACUCGUUGAGACAAAUCCCAGACUCGAUUGGAAAGUUGACAUCAUUGACAAAGGUGCAUUUGAAAUCUACGGCCAUUGAAGAAUUACCUGAAUCCAUUGGUUUUUUGAAUGAGCUCAAGACUCUAGAUGCCUCUCAUUGCAAAUCGUUAGCCCGCAUACCCAAUUCAAUAGGCAAUUCAACAUCUCUGUCUCGCCUUGACCUAACAGGAUGCCAUAAACUUGCUCAACUUCCGGACUCUAUUGGCUCUCUCGUGUCUCUACAGCAGUUGUUAUUGUCAGGAUGCCACUCGUUAAGACAAAUCCUAGACUCAAUUGGAAGGUUGACAUCAUUGACUGAGCUGCAUUUGAAAUCUACAGCCAUUGAAGAAUUACCUGAAUCCAUUGGUUCUUUGAAGAAGCUCAAGACUCUAGAUGCCUCUGAUUGCAAAUCGUUAGCCUGCAUACCCAAUUCAGUAGGCAAUUCAACAUCUCUGUCUCGCCUUGACCUAACAGGAUGCCAUAAACUUGCUCAACUUCCAGACUCUAUUGGCUCCCUCGUGUCUCUACAAUAUUUGUCAUUGUCAGGAUGCCACUCAUUGAGACAAAUCCCAGAAUCGAUCAUAAAGUUGAUAUCAUUGACUGAGCUGCAUUUGAAAUCUACGGCCAUUGAAGAAUUAUCUGAAAGCGUUGGGAAUAUGCAAAACUUAAGGAUAUUGGACAUUAGUGGAACUCCCAUGAUAGAAUUGCUUGAUGACCCAGGAAUAUUGGCAGAACUCCAAGAGUUCAGAGCUUCGAGAUGGAAAAAUCCGGAAGGGGCACUUAGUAAUAACGGUCAAUUGGUUUCACCAAACAAUCUUGGUUUAGACAAGCUUCAAAAACUAUCAAAAUUGCGCUCUCGCGUACUAGCGCUCGGUAUCACCUACCAAAUCUCGCAAUCACUAAAUCUAUCCCAGCUAAACUUUCUUAAGAAACUCACUAUUUCUAAUUGGAUUGAAUGUCUCCCAAACCUUUCUAUAAAACGUUGUAGAAAAGCUAUGAAUCUUGAUUUUGUAUUUUCAAAAGUUCAACCUAUUAGUUGGGCAUUCUAUUUACUUUUUGUCUUGUGAUACAGUUCUCUUAAAGCGUCCCAAGACUCCAGCAGCCAACAACUCAGCCAUGGAUUAUCAAACAGCAGAUUCUAAACACGUUUUGAAGAGAUCAAGACCUUUUGGAAUCUUGGAUGAAGUACUUAUUUCAUCUUGCUUUUUCUUUAUCGUUCUUUAUUAAUUAUAGGAUGGUUUUAUCUAUAAAGAUAAGUAUCUUAUUGGGGGAUCGAUUAUCUGUUAUGUAUGGAACGCUUUUCUCAACAUUCAUAACUAAAUCUGUCAGGCUUGUUACAUUUACUUCUCGCUAUUUUAAGUCUUUUGUUCAUGGAAGUAGGAAUUUUCUUCUCCUUUUUGGACACAUCUACACAAACUAGCAGCAAUGGUAGGGAUGGCAAGUGGUAUCAUUAUUGCAUUAGGUCGUUAAAUUUUUUUAAGGAGCUUUAUUUGUUCCUUAUUUUAUUACUUAAAUGAUGCGAUAAUUGCAUUUGUAUGUGCAUGUUUAUUGGACGUCUUUCAAUGACAUCCUCUCUUUUGAGCUCUACAGGAUAGCGAGAGCAUGGCAGAUGAGAAUCCCAGAAUUGCCGAUGACUUGGCAGACAAAUCACGAAAUUGGAAACUGACAGAAAUCAACGAACCAUCGCAAUGCCGGUCCAUAAGGCUGCCUGAUAACUCUACGGCUACGAGGGUACAAAUGACUGCCAAAAUAGGAUCUUCUUAUGUAGCAUUUCUUUUCCGCAUCUCAUGUUUCUACUAGAUAAGCACAAAUUUCAAUAGGGGUUGCAUUUAAUGCACUUGCUUUAUUAGUUAUAUUCACAUGUGGUCCAAUUAAUCAUCUCUUAAACCUCAGCACUUGGAGGACUUUGUCAUCUCUUCAUUUGGCCUUUUAUUGUUAAUUGAUUGUUUCAACUACACAAAUGGGAAAGGAUCAGAUCAACAUUAAUAAAUCUGUGAUUAUGGUGUGGCAAUUGUGCUUAAGUCAAGAUUUUACUUUUGUUUUGGUAACUGCUUCAACUAAGUUUUGAUGUCGUGUGUAUCAUAUGCUCUGUCCAUAUAUACAUACAUAUAUGAGUUAAAGGUCAUUGAGUGUCUCUUUACAUGAAUUUCUGCAUAUAUCAUUUAGUGUCCAGUUAUUUGGCCUCUUUUUUUUUUUUUGGCAUUUUCUUUUAACUUUGGGUAUGACAUUAUACUGUCACCACUGAAACUGAUAAAACGAAGCAGGUCUCGAGAUUAAUCUAUACAAAAUCAGGUCGUGCUAUUCUGGCAUUAUCAUCUAAUGCUGUACACAAGCUCUGGAAAUGGGAAAUAAGUGGUUGGAACCCAACAGCCACGGUAAGGAGUCUUUUUUUUUUCCCUUUGAAAUUGGCAGGUUGUUUUUAUUGUUUAGCGCAUUAUUGACUACAUUGAUUCUUCUUUUCGCAGGCCACAUCUAGGGUAGUACCACAGUUAUGGCAACCUCCUAGUGGGAAUUUGAUGACCAAUGACACGAUUGGUAUAAAUCCUGAAGAUACAGUUUCGUGCUUUGCACUGUCAAAGAACGAUAGUUAUCUAUUUUCAGCAUCAGGGGGGGACAUCUCUUUGUUCUAUCUGAUGACUUUUAAGGUGAAUAUUUGGAGCACUAUCCACAAGGCACGAGAUGAUGAACUACUCCUUUGUGCUGGAUAUGCAUUCGCAAUUUCCUUUUCACAUUUUUAUGGGUCCUAAAAGUAACUGAUUCUAUUAUGUACAAAAGUACUGAUCUCUAUAGUUAGGAGGUCCAUGAAAGCAACUGCUCCGAUUUUCAUGUGGAUUAUUGGGUCAGAAGUGCAGCAUAUGUCUUUUUUUACUUGCCGAGUGAGACAAGGGCUUUACUCUAUCUUCAAUGGAAUCUUUUUGCUCUCACUAAUUAAAGAAAAAAAGACGAGCUUUUUUCACCCAUCCAAAGAUCUAAUGAUCGAACUUGCUAUCUCCCUUUCUUGGGAAGGGGAGAUGCCAUUGAGACAAGUGCCUCUUGGCACAUAUGUCCCACUGUUACUUAUAAAAUUGCUCAAUACUCUACCUGCUGGUAUCUAGGUGAUGAGAACGAUUAUGCCCCCACCACCAGACGGUGACAUUAUUGCAAUAGGAAUGGACGACUCCUCUAUUCAAAUUUACAGUGGUCAAGAGGAUGAGGUGAGACCUGAUUUCAUCGUCAUUGAAAGUUAACCUUAUUAUUAUUUGCAACAGAGUUAUGGAUAUUGACUGUUUCACUUUCUCAGGUGAAGACAAAACUAAAAGGACAUCGAAGAAUAAUCAAAGGCUUUUCCUUCCCAACUUCCUUAACUGUUCUCGUGUCUUCUAGCGCCGACUCUCAGGUAUCGGACUACUACUUUUUUACUUGUUAAGUGAGAAAAGGGCUUUUCUCUAUCUCCAAUGGAAUCAUUUUGCUUGUGGUGAUAAAAUAAAAGAAAGCACGAGCUUCUCUCAUCCAUCCAGAGAUCUAAUGGUCGAACUUGCUCUCUCUCCCCCUUUCCGAAGAAGGGAGAUGCCAUUGAGGCAAGUGCCUCUUGGCACAUAGGUCCCAUUUUCACUUAUAAAGUUGUUAAUACAAUGCUGCCUGCCGAUAUCCAGACAAUCACAACACUUGGGCCUCCACCAGCAGCAACAUUUCUGGCGUUCCAUCCUCAAGAUAAUAACAUCAUUGCAAUAGGAAUGGAGGACUCCUCUAUUCAAAUCUACAAUGCGCGAGUUGAUGAGGUGAGACCUGUUUUCAUUGUUGUUGAAAGUUACCUUGUUAUCUGCAAGAAAGUUAUGGAUAUUAACUGUUUCUCUUUCUCAGUUCAUGGCAACACUAAGAGGGCAUCAGAAAAGAAUUACGAGCCUUGCCUUCUCUCAUGUCUUGAAUGUUCUCGCGUCUUCUGGCGCUGACUCUCUGGUACCACACUACUGCUGCANNNNNNNNNNNNNNNNNNNNNNNNNNNNNNNNNNNNNNNNNNNNNNNNNNNNNNNNNNNNNNNNNNNNNNNNNNNNNNNNNNNNNNNNNNNNNNNNNNNNCAAUGUAGUUUAUAGUGCCCCCGGAAAAGGGUAGAUGUUCACUCUCUGGAUUUAUUGAUGCUUAUGUCCUCAGCAUAGGUGAUGAAAUGAAGGCAUCCUUUACUGGCAGAAUAAAUCCUUCCAAAAAACUUCAUCUUUUGUGUUGACAAAUUAUUCCCUCCCAUUAAGUACGAAAAAAGAAGUUAUGAUGAUGUCCUGUUGUUGCUUACAACCGACCAUCGAUGUGAUUCUGAUAUGAAAACACAAUGGACAAUUUUAUUCAUUCAUUUCUGCAUCAAUGCCAAUAUCCCUUUUGAUGAUUGACUACUAUCACUGCAGUUGUGUGUUUGGAGCACUGAUGGAUGGGAGAAGCAGGCUAGUAAGUUUCUGCAGAUGCCGAAUGGACGAGGAGUGGCUCCUUUUGCUGAUACUCGUGUUCAAUUUCACCUGGAUCAAGUACAUUUGCUGGUGGUUCAUCAAACACAGAUCGCCACAUGUGAAGUUCCUAAACUAGAACUCCUCAAGCAGGUAUUGAAGAUUUUUUUUUUUGUUGUGCACGAACCAAUCUGUCAUCUCAUCAUGAUUGCAUAAAAAUUAGAGAAUCGUUAGGUAGUAUGAGUUGCUUUGUGCCAAAUGUACUUUUUUUAUUUGUUGCUCAUCUCAACUAGUGGGAUACUCGAGAAGCUAGCGCUCCAAUUACAGAUGCUACAUAUUCAUGCAAUGGUGAAUCAAUAUACGUGAGCUUUGAAGAUGGAAGCAUCGGUGUUUUUACUGCUUCUACACUCAGAUUGAGAUGUCGUAUAAAUCCUGCCACUUAUAUCCCUCCAAACCCCAGGUAAGUUGGUUAUUUACAACUCAGUUAACCUCAUUCCUUUAAGAAAAUGGCAAGUCUCAUUCGCAAAGUUUCAAUAGUCUCGCAAGUAAUUCAUUCCUCAUAAUGCAUUUGGCAGCUUUAGAGUCUACCCACUAGUCAUUGCAGCACAUCCAUCCGAACCUAACCAGUUUGCACUAGGGCUUACUGACGGUAGCGUCUAUGUACUUGAGCCAUUGGAAUAUGAAGGAGAGUGGGGUACUUUUGGGCCUAGCACGACCUUUGGUGCAACCGGUUCAGAUCAACACCAAAGGUAAUACAGGCCAUGUCUCUCCCUGUGAAACUUUUGAGCAUUAAAAUGCUGAGCCGGCUUUCCUCCACCGCACUUGAUUCAAGUUUUGAGGGAGAUGCUGCAGAGGGUAGAUUAUACAGCCUCAGGGUACUUCUACGGGACAUGGUUCAAUACAAUGUCCUAAUGGACUUCUGCUCAAGUCUCGUGGUGAUAAUUUGUUUUGUUGUAUUCAUAUAGGCUGAAUGAAAGUGGAAAAAGAAAAACAUAAGAUUAGAGUGUUGCUUUGAAGGUGUUGUAUAUUCAAAGCAGAGGUAGAGAGCAUACCUCAUUUUCUACGCAAUCAGUAAGGAUUUGAUUAUACUAGUUAACCAAUUAAUACCAUUUCGAUAUCUAAACUUAAUUAAUUUAUUAACUAAGUGUCCACAUAGUUUUUGACUAUUUAAUUAACUUGUGCCAUUAAAUAAUGUCCAUGCAUGAGUACACGAUCAAUGAAAAGUAAACAAUCACAAUCACUAGAUAGAAGUAAAGUAUAAGAAAGUAGAUCCAUUGGAGUGUCAACCGUAGAAUACACAUGGCUUUGUAUUAAGCCUCGGGCAACAACCCACGCUAAAUUCAAAUUGUGUCCGAUUCAUUUUCUCAUAAACUACUCUACCUAAAUCUAAACUAAAUUAAAGUUCUUAUUAAAAUCCCCUUCAACCUAUAUGUAUACUAACUAAAAGAAACUAAGCUAUAUGUAGCAUUAAAACUUUGCGACCUAAUCAAGGUCUCUAUUUCUAACCAUUUUCCAAUUUUUCAUUUUUUCGAUUUUUUUAAAACUUAAUUCUUAUCAUUUUCUGAAAAUAGGGACUCGAGCCGGGUCCGGAUUUGAGCUGCACGCUGGUCUCACGAAUUUGGGGUAAUAAGCACAAUUCGGGCUUUUCUAUUCGGUCCCCUCCAAUUCUAACUCUACUGAGCCCAACCUAUUGCCAUGAUAACUGCUCCAGCUCAUCUUCUCUUCCAACUUCAGCAAGUGCAUCUUUAAGCCCGAUUUCUAUUAUAGAUAGAUUAAAGCCCACUCUAACCCAUCUUAUUAUUAUUUUGGAAAAAGACCACCAAAAAUCCCAAAUUUUAUCUAAAGUGAUAAAUUUACCUUAAACUUUUUUUUGAGACAUGAAAAACCCCUAAUUUUGCAACCUGUGACACAUUUACCCAUCAAUGACAUUUUCGUCUUAUUUUUUCUGUUUUUCUAUUUUUCUUUUUUUUCUCUCUUCUGGGCAAGCCGGCGAGGGCAGCCCUCGCCGAACGCCGGCAGAGGGAAGAAAGAAGAAGAAGAAAAAAAGAAAAAAACUUUAAAAAGUAAAAAGACCAAAAUGUCCAUGAUUUUGUGUUACGAACGCCGGCGUUCAGCCCUCGCCGAACGCCGUUCAGGGUAAAUGUGUCAUACGGAUAGAAGUUCAUGAUUUUUUGUGUUACGAAAAAAAGCUUGGGGUAAAUGUGUCACGGUUGGCAAACUUCGAAGUUUUUCAUGUCACCAAAAAAAGUUUGGAUAAAUUUAUCACUUUGAGUAAAGUUUGGGGUUUUUUGUGGUUUUUUCUCUAUUAUUUUUAAAUCAACUUUCCUCUUUUCUUACAUCUUUUUGUCAUUUAUUAUUAUUAUUAUUAGUUUCUUCUUCCUUCUUCCAACCCUUCGUCCUCUUCAAAGCAAAUCGAGAAUCUAACCAGCCAUUUCCUCACCGAUGAAGACCAUAAAGACGUCACAAAAACGUAUGUGAAAUUAUAUAACAAAAUAUACAAGAAAAAUUUAUGUUAUAACAACGAAAUUUAAUAAGAAUUGAAUCUGAAUGUUAAUGGACUUACUUGUAACAAGUAAUGUAUGCUAAAAAAUCUUCAAAUUGACUUAGAUCAGGAAUUAUUUCACUAAUGUAUUUUAGAGACAUUUCAUCAAACAAUCUAUGUGCACCAAAGGGAUUGAAUCUGGUCAUAAAUCGAAGUUUUGUUUUCGUCUUAAAUCAAUGCCAGAACCACAAAGCCAUAACAAAUCAUCAAAUUAUAGCCUAGAUCAUCGGUGAUUUUCACAUGAGUAACCUGAACGUGGUCUAGUCAUGCAUCUUUCCAAAACAGGGCAGGAAAGAGGGGAAUGAAAUCCAGGAGUUAUCGGUUGAGAACUAAGGGCUAAUGAACAAACUACGGGCUAGACAUGGUCUGGCUUCUGGGUAUUUAUGCGUCCGACUAAUGCAAGUUGGGCUUAAUAGAGGUGGAUGGGCCAUGGCCCAUGGGCUUGGCUUAGACGAAUUGGAUCGAGCCCAUCGCAUUGAAUGGAUAUCCUUUCCAAUUAGUUGAUGAAUUGAAUAAGUCCCUUCAGUCAUUAUUUUUUGCAUUCUUCAUUUUGGUUUUAUUUAUUCAUAUCUUAACCGCCUAGAUUGCCGAUUUUCCUUAAAUUGUUGAUUAAAAAUCAAGUAUCCACAGCAGGUCCAAGACCUUAAAAUUGGCUGAAGCAAUUUCCUAAAAGUUGUAAUCUUGAAGGUGCUACUAUUGAGAAAUGUUCGACAAGCCCUCUAGAAAACCUGCAAUGCCCAUUCUUCUUAGUCCAAGUAACUCCUAACAUUAAUUAUUUAUAGUCUUUUCAAAAUAAUUCAUAUAUUUUUAGAUAGUCUUAAUAUGAAUGAGUUAUUUAGCAAUUUCUAUAAGAGUAGAAUUGUUAAUUCAAAACAUUCAAGCAAAGAAUUAUAAAAGGAGAUUGCCAAUAGCAUUGGGAGGCAAUUUGGUAAAAGAAGUAUUUAUAAGAGUUAUAACAAGUCGGAAUUCAACAAAAUGUCAAUCUAAGUGCUUAAUCAUGAAAAAGAAGAAGCAAUACCAAUAUCAAAAACCAAAGAGCUGUUAGCAGAAUCAAAAUUUCCUUUUCAUCUCCUGUUGGUGUAUAAACUUGUUAUUUAGUUCCGAAAAGAAUAAAUAUAAAUGCAUGUAUAUUUUGUCACAUAGUUUAAGUAUUACUUUCAAGAAUGCUUUGAUUUGAUAGGUGGAACCAUAACAACUAAACUGGGAAAGGUCUUUCUCUUAUUUUCAUCGUUUGGCCGUGUGUAUAUUUACAAUGUUAAUAAGUACCUGAUAUUGAGAAGUGCUAUCGACAGUAGUUUUCCCUCAUCCUUACAAUGAAUGUCGAUACAGUGAAAAUUAUUAACCACAUUCAAGCCAUUCUCGUCUACUUGUCAAGCAUCUGCACACAAAGUGAAACCUGCUUAUUUCCGUCUUCGACUGGGCUUCUUACUCUUUCUGGCUGAGGUUGACUGCUCCAAAGGCACUGGUAAUAGGGUUCCUCCCUUGACGCCAUCUUCAUCAUUCAUCUUAUCGAGAGUUUUCUGGGCUCCAAUAUACACCUUAAGGUCUCUGAUCUGUGAAGGAUGACAAGGGACAUACUACUGUCAACCCACUAUGCGUGUGCAGAGUUUUCACUCUUAUCAUAUCAAAAUCCUACAAAUUAUUACAGUUUUAAGGCUAAAAGAAUAUACCUGUUCUUCUAAGUCAAGUAUUUGUUCAUCCUUCGACUUCAGUGACAGAGUUUUCCUGUAGAUGCACAGAAGCUUAUGUGUCCUUCAUUCAUGUCAAAUUAGAAGGGAAGAAUAAAUUCCUGACAGCUUUAACUGACUGGACUCAUCUACUGAAAAAGUUUCCAUACAAUCGAUAAUAAUGCUUAUUGAGGAAACUAGCCCACAUAACUUCAAUGAGGAUGGACAAGACCAGUAUACUUCAUAAGGCUGUAUGAAUCUCUUUACAAAGAAAAUGUCGUGGGCAUAUUACGGCACUUAAAAAGCAUCUACACCUACAUUGCUUGACAUGCGAAGCUCAAAUAAGCUUUAAGCCUGCCCAGUGUAUCUUCUUUUCCUUUUAUUUUCUAUUUUGUGGAAGUUGGAAAUGUCAACAUAACGCAGUAUAAACAACCAUUUGAAUUUCAAUUGGAAUUAGUAAAAUUUCAAUGUUGAACUGUAUCAAUUAAAAUUUGAGUCCCGAACCAUCACAGAAUAAUGUUCAAAUUUCUUUAGUGUGUAAAAAUGUACUUUGAAAUUGAACCACCACCAUGAAGAUUUCAACAUUGAUUUCUGUCGAUAAAGUUCAACCUCUAAAGCAGUAGCACUAGAACUUCAGAGGAAAACAAAAUUAGAGAUGGAGCAUAUAUAAACAAAGGAACAAAAUUAUGGAGAGCACUGACUAAUGGAACUUUCUCCAUACGUGGUGCAUACUCUCCUUUCCCCUUUUCCCCUUUUUUGUCUCUUUCUCUUAUUAUAGUUUGUUCGAUCUCGCCACUUUUUAAGAAGAACUUCAAUAAAAAAUACCAAAAGCUACUUCAUCUUCUAGCCACAUCCUCCAAUUAAUGAUUAACUUAAACUUAAUUAUCCUUCCCAAGUAUGGUGAAAGGAAAAUAUAUUGACUAUUUGAUAAAUUCUUACUUGGCAUAAAAUGACUUUUGUUCUUUUGCCAUUGAUUAUGUGUUACAAGUCACUUAUAGUCACUAUUCACAUAGUUGAAUUAGAACCUGUAUUUCCUCUUCCUUCUUCCAACUUUCACCUUUCUUACCUCACAUCUAAAAGUCCAUGCAAUGCGAACACUUCCUCUUAAUGAUACCAUUCUCACUUUUUUCUCAUCUUGUUGAAUGUCCAUUUCCACUUUCUCUCUCAUGACCAACCUCCCUUACAUGAACUAUGACUACAAUGCUGCUUCAUUUUACUAAUUAGGUUUUAUGAGACUAUGGAUGCUAUGGGAUUAUUAUCUAGAGAAAUCAGCAAGGAAAAAUAACUCUCUUCAAUUUCCUUAACCUUUCUCCGCAUCAUAUCUUGGUUCUUGAUGAGAGUUUGAUUAAGCUGCAACCACAAGAAGCGACAUCUGUUACUGUUAUGUCGAAGAUUGUAAUAUUUAAAAUGAGGCAUGUGAAAAAUGAGCAAAACAACAAUCAGCCAUGGCUUCAGGUAGCCCUCCUCUCAAGCUUUAAACAUCCAAAAUCGCACAAGGCAAAACAGAGAAGACUAAACCCUUACCUCUGCCACGGCCUUCUUUUCAUCACCAAGUUUCCCCAGCUUACUAUGGAUGUCUUCAAUCUUUGAAGUCACAGCUUUCUCAAUUGCUUCUAGUUUGAAAUUUUCUUUUCUACUUUUGGCUUCUAACAUGAGAGACUCAUAAUGCCAACAGAGAAAGACAAAAGAAUUAAUAGGGGAUGACACGUUCAAGGACUUAAAUUAUAUUCUUUAAAGUCAGUCUUAAGGAUGAUGGCAGUCUAUGUAACAAAAAAUGACAAACAUGGGUUAGAAAUGAAACACUAUCACCAACUGUAGCAUGGGCAGUUGAUAUAAAAACUAAUGGCUUUUGUAAUUCUACUUCCGAUACAGUAACAAGUUUUCAAUUCUGAUACUGUUCCUUCUAAGGCUCUCCAUCACAAGUCAAUAAAAAAAGAGUCCUGGCACCUUAGGGAAACUCGAUUCAUUUUCUCCCAGAGACAUAUUAAUGAGAAAAAAGAAAAGAAAAGAAGAAUAGUAGAAGUUUUGCAAUUCUCUGAAGCUGAUGCAAGCCCACUAAUUCUUUUAUACUUCCUAUAUAAGCUCAUCAGACACAUGCAGUAUGCAAAUUGACAGGUAUAAAAUGUUGUAUACCAUAUAAAAGCAAAUGAAGCUGAGAUUAUACAACAUCAGCGUAAUUACUUUCCUUCCCUUCACAACAAUUCUGACAAUCCCAUAAAGUUCCAAGAGUUAAAUAAAUUCACUUAAAAAACAAAACAAAAUGGAGAAACAUUUUUUAAUCUGAAAUAACUAAACAAAUGUUCUAUUAUGGUUUUCUCCUAAAAUAUGUGUACUUAAAAACCAUUACCUAAGAUCUCGUAGUUCCUACGGGGUGGAGACGAUGGGGAAAAACAUAAUUGAGGGAAGCCUUCACAAGUAAUGCUUAUAACCAUGGCCGAUCAGUCAAAAAAAUAAAAUGUAAAAGACUAUGUUAAGCAGGGAGAAUUGAAAUGGUCUCCGUAUAUGCAUGCUUACUUUUCUUUGCGCUUCCUGCUGAGUUGAAGCUAGAUGAAUAUAGUCAGCAUGAAUCUACAAAAAAGUAAAGCUACAGUGUCAGAGUAAACGAAGAAAAUCUGAUAGUUACAAUGGAGGUAAUAUACAUUUUGCAGGCCCAAUAAUGAACAUGUGACAUUUGGCCAACAAAAUGAACAUGUGAAACACAAAACCAGCAACAGGAUCUUUCAUUAUCAUCUGUCAGCACCUAAAACAGUAAAAGCAUCAUGCACUCAAAACUUCAAACAUCUCACUUAACUGAGUCCAAACUCCGAAUCUCUGCAGGGAAAAGAGAACCAGAAAACAAAAAUAUUCACAGCACACAAAUAAGAGGACACAUGAACUUACUGCUUCAAUUUUGCUGCUGAAGAGCGCCCCACUAAUUUCAGAAUCCUCACUACAGCCACAGCUACCACAAUCUCCUUCAAGUGAUUCACAGUAUGAAUUCAUCUCCAAAAGCUUGCCAUCAGCUUUUGAUUGAUUAAGCCGGUGAAUGUAAGUGUCCCCAACAUAAUCCCAAAUUUGCUGUGUUCUUAAAUCUAGAGAAUAGCAAUGUUGCGUAUUUUUCCAAUGGCUGAUUGCAUGCUUAUCUUUGUAUCUACAAAGCCAGAAAAGAAAAGCUAUAAUGAAGACAGCCUAUCCAAUCGCUAAAAAUAUAGAGUGAGCGAAAAUUCCAGCACAUCAUGACUGGAUCUAUCACCUUCCACAUCCAACAAAACCACAUAUCAGACAAACCCAAAGCUUUUCCAUUGUUCCACAAAUAAAGCAGGAUGGCACCUCAUCUCGCUGUUGGCAUAGUCGGCAAACCUGAUAAAGGACAGAAACAGAUCUUCUUCACAAUCAGUUAACAGAGGGGCAUUCCCGAUGAUGUUGCAAAAUGAAACUACAUUUCCGAUAAAGGAAAUUUCUUGCAAUCAAAACAAGAUAUAUGCCCUAAUUGACAUCUUUAGCAAUGUAAUUGGACCUUGCAAUAAAAUCAAAGUAAGAUCCUUGGGACAUCACCAGCAUGGGGGAACAUCAUGUUGACUUAUUUUAACCAUAAAGAUUGACGAAUCAAGCAAAAGUCAGUAUGCACAUGUCCAUUGAUAUAUCUCCUACAUGGCACUUUUUCACCUUUUGAUAUUACAUGAGUUCAAAGGUACUUUUUUGCUACAAAUUCACAUGGACAGAGCAUACUAGAACAUCACUUGAAAUGUAAAAUAUGACCAUGUAACAUCUUAGUUUCAAGACAGGAUAUGAUUGAGGUCAAAGAUCAGAACUUUGACAUCAGUAUGAUCACCCUGUACUUGUGAGCACACACAUAACUAAUGUUCAUUCAUAUACUUUUCACGCUAUUUCUAAUGAUGUCUCUAUACUUUUAAUUUGCCUAAUCAAGUCCUUCUACUUUAACAAACUUUCCAAUCAAGUCUUUCCGACACUAAAUACGACCAAAUUCAACUGAAGUGGCUGUUCGACGAUGACGACGUAUGAUGCCGAUAAAAUAUGCGGAUGCCCACAUGGACAUGCCUGGAAAAAUUUAGCCAAUGUAGACGACCUCGAAGUGCAACAUGGAUAAUAUAAUGGACAUCCACGUCACAAACAGAGACAUCUGACGGUCACACCAGCUGAAUUUGGCCUGAUUUGGUGUCAGAGACAUUUGAUUAGAAAAUCUGUAAAAGUAGGACUUUAUUUAACAAAUUAAAAGUACAAGGGACUUGAUUAGAAAAAAAGGUGAAAGUUCAGGAUAAAAACAAUACUGCCACAAUUGCUAUAGCUAAUAUUAAUUAUCAAAAAGCAACGACUAAUCCACAGUCAGCAGAUUAACAGAGAGAUAGUGGCAAUAGCUGAUAAAUUACAUUAUAAAUUCAUCUAAUCUGUAUCAGCAGAAGAAUGCCUAACCUGACAAGACAAGUAAGUCCAUUUUGUACCACACGAGCAAUGAAAGGAAUGGUCACAAUGUGUACUCAAAAUUCCGCUGGUAUCUGGGUCCAAUCUCUCUGACAUUAAAAAUAAAAGAAUUAGCAACUGUGAACAACUUUCUAUAAACUCAUCUCACUGCAAGGGAAAUAUAAUCAGCAAGGGGGCACUAGCAUGACUUACCGAGACAAACUGGACAAGAUGGUAGCUCCGUAAAGCCCGAUGGGGGCGUGCUAGCUACAUCAGCUGAUUCCAUAUAGUCCACUUCGUGCAGAAAUAGAAUAUGGCAUACCUCAGCCUGAAUGUCCAGAAGACGAGUAUUAAAAGUGAAACAGAAAUUUACUAUGUGAUCUCACGGCAAGCAACAGGUGCAAAAAUUGCAAAUACCUCAGCAGGGGAGAAAUUCUUGCCAUUGAAGGUGCAAUAGAAACCAUCAGCGGCCUUUUGAUCGGUAAGCUCGAUCAGCACGCUGUACCUAUCUUCCAUCCCACCAUUCCUACAUCAAACGCACAAUUCGCAACACAACGAUCACUAAAACUAUUAAAAAGCAUUUAAAAAAGAACCCAGAUCGGAAAACCCAGUUCCACCGUCGGAAUGCUUCCAAAAAAUUGAACUUUCAUCAUAGGAUACCCCCUAAGGCAUGAUCAUGAGCAAAUUUUCAGUAAUGAAGUCCAUCUCUUAGAUUUUCAUCAGCGAAUUCUAAUUCCUCGAAUUCUCUCUUUCGCUUACCCAAUUCAUCUCACCAACUGAAAAAACCGGUCCGAAGUCCCGAAGAAGAGGAGGGCAGAAAACAGAAACGAUGGAAGCCUUACCUGAUGAACCGGAGCUCGGAGACGUCGUCGAUCCGGGGGCCGCAGAACCGGAUGAAGUCGUCGGGAGAGAAGUAAUUAGGGACGGCGACGACGAAGAGGGUGGUGGAGCGGGCGCCGGGGCUCGAGAGGGGCGCGUGCUAGAGCGUCCGGAACAGGUGGACCAUGCGCCUCCGCUCGGUGAACCUAGGGCGGCGGCGGCGGCUAGGAGGAGGAGAAGCCGCCGUAGUCGGUGGCGAGGGGGUGGUCGGUGUCCACCGAGUGGACCCGGAGGAACAACAUCUUUUCCCCUUCGGGCUUGCUGCGAUCGCCGGGCUGAGUCGAAUCGCCCGAGUUGUAGAAGACUGCAGUUACUGCGGAGCAGAGAGAAGAAACUCGCGGGAAC
rnacentral:lncRNA from 1 species